UGAUAGUGCUAUUAGUGUUUUUGUUUUGCUAAAUUUUGUAUAUUGUUAACAAGAAAUGAGAAGAUUGAUAGUGUUUUUAGUGUUCUUGUUUUGCUAAAUUUUGUAUAUUGUUAUCAAGAAAUGAGAAGGUCGAUAGUGUUAUUAUGUUCUUGUUUUGCUAAAUUUUGUAUAUUCUUAUCAAGAAAUGAGAAGAUUGACAGUGUUAUUAGUGUUCUUGUUUUGCUAAAUUUUGUAUAUUGUUAUCAAGAAAUGAGAAGAUCGAUUGUGUUAUUAGUGUUCUUGUUUUGCUAAUUUUGUAUAUUAUUGCCAAGAAAGGAGAAGAUGGAUAGUGUUAUUAGUGUUCUUGUUUUGCUAAAUUGUGUAUAUUGUUAUCAAGAAAUGAGAAGAUUGAUAGUGUUAUUAGUGUUCUUGUUUUGCUAAAUUUUGUCAAUUGUUAUCAAGAAAUGAGAAGAUUGAUAGUGUUAUUAGUGUUCUUGUUUUGCUAAAUUUUGUUUAUUGUUAUCAAGAAAUGAGAAGAUUGAUAGUGUUAUUAGUGUUCUUGUUUUGCUAAAUUUUGUUUAUCAAGGAAAUUGAGACAGACUGAUAGUGUUAUUAGUGUUCUUACGUUUUGGUUAAAUUUUGUAUAUUCUUAUCAAGCAAAAUGAGAGGAUUGAUAGUGGUUAUCGAUUUCAUUAUUGAUUUUGCUAAUUUUGAUUAUUCUAUCAAGAAAUGAGAAGAUUGAUAGUAUUAUUUUCUUGGUUUUGCUCAAAAUUUUGUAUAUUGGUUAGUCCAAAAACUGAGAAACUUGAUAAUGUUAUUAGUGUCUUGUUUUGCUAAAUUUUUUUAUAUUGAUUUAUGGAGCAAUGAGAGAUUGAUAGUUUUAUUAGUGUUUCUUGUUUCGCCUAAAUUUUUGUAUAUUGUUAUCAGAAAUGAGAAUUGAUAGAUGUUAUUAUAGUUCUUGUUUUGCAAAUUUGUAUGAUUGUUAUCAAGAAAUGAGAGACUUGAUAAUUGUUAUUAGUGUUCUUGUUUUGCUAAUUGUAUUUGUUAUCGAAGAGAAUGAGAAGAUGAUGAGUGUUAUUAGGUUUGUUUUGCUAUUUCCGUUUUGUACUAGAAAUACAGAUUGUUGUAUAGUCUUGUUAUCAGAAAAUGAAGAAGAUUGAUGUAGGUGUUAUUAGUGUUCUUGUUUUUUGCUAAAUUUUGUAUAUUUUUAUCAAGAAAUGAGAAGUUGAUAUGUUAUUAGUGUUCUUGUUGUUGUUCUAAUUUUUGUAUAUUGUUUAUGAAGAAUGAGAAGAUGAGAGUGUUAUUAGUGUUUCUUGGUUUGCUAUUUUUGUAUUAAUUGUUAUCAAGAAAUGAGAAGAUUUGAUAGUGUUAUUAGUGUUCUUGGUUUUGCUAAAUUGUGUAUAUUGUUAUUCAAGAAAUGAGAAGAUUGAUAGUGUUAUUAGUGUUCUUGUUUUGCUAAAUUUUGUAUAUUGUUAUCAAGAAAUGAGAAGAUGUGAUAAGUGUUAUUAGUGUUCUUGUUUUGCUAAAUUUUUGAUAUUGUUAUCAAGAGAAAUGAGAGAGUUUGAUAGUGUUAUUAGUGAUUCAUUGUUUUGGCUAAAUUUUGUAUAUUGUUAUCAGAAAUAGAAGAGUGAUAGUGUUAUUUAGUGUUCUUUGUUAUCAAGAAACGUUUGACGCUUGACCCUUUAGCAAAAUCUCUCAAAAAUGAAAGGCUUGCAAUGGGGAAUUGCUCCAUGGCUUCUGUUCAUGGUUCAAAAUAAGGAUAUGGAAGAUCACAACCAAGUCGAUGUUAAGUCAUGACGGCACUGUUCGUUGAAUUUAUUGAUGGCUUCGAAGGGCCACACCACUGCUUCCUAUAUUCGUACGCACAUCUUCAGGACUCUAUUAUGUGAGUUAGUAUCUUUAACUUCUUUUUUUAAGCAUACUAAUGUUGUAUAUUGUUAUCGCAAGAAAUGAAGAAGAUUGAUUAGUGUUAUUAGUGUUCCUUGUUUUGCUAAAUUUGAUAUUGUUAGCAAGAAAUGAGAAGAUUUGAUAGUGUUAUUAGUUUCUUCUGUUUUUGCUAAAUUUGUAUAUUGUUAUCAAGAAUGAGAAGAUUGAUUUAGUGUUAUUAGUUUCUUGUUUGCUAAAUUUGUUAUUAUUGUGUAUCAAGAAAUGAGGAAAGACUGAUAGUGUUAUUAGGUGUUCUUGUUUUUGCUUAAAUUUUGGUAUAUUGUUUAUUCAAGGAAAUGAGACAGGAUUGAUAGUGUGAUUAGUGUUCUUGUUUUGCUAAAAUUUUAUAUUGUUAUCAAGAAAUGAGAAGAAUGAUAAUGUUAGUAGUGCUGUCUUGUUUUGCUAAAAUUUUGUAUUUGUUAUCAAGAAAAUGGAGAAAGAUUGAUAGUUGUUAUUAGUGUUCUUAUUGCUAAAUUUUUUAUAUUGAUAUCAAGAAAGAAAUGAGAAGAUUAUAGUGUUAUUUUAGUGUUCUUGUUUUGCUAAAUUGUUGUAUAUUUGUUUAUCAAAGAAAUGAGGAAGAUGAUAGUGGUGUAUUAGUGUUCUUGUUUGCUAAAUUGGUAUAUUGUUAUCAAGAAAAUGAGAAGAUUUGAUAGUGUGAUUAGUGUUCUUGUUUUGCCUAAUUUUGUAUAUUGUGUAUCAAGAAAUGAGAAGUUUGAUAAUGUUAUUAAGUGUUCUUGUUUUGCUAAAUUUUGUAUUAUUCCGUUAUCAAUUAAAUGAAGAAGAUAUAGUGUUAUUAGUGUUCUUUGUUUUGCUAAAAUUUUGCUUUUUGGCAUAUCAAGAAAUGAAGAAGAUUGAUAGUGUAUUUAGUGUUCUGGGUUUUGCUUAAAAUUUUGUAUAUUGUUAUCAAGAAAUGAGAAGAUUGAUAGGUGUUUAUUUGUGUUCUUUGUUUUUUGCUUAAAUUUUAUAUAUUUUAUCAAAGAUAUUCAGAAGAUUGAAGUGUUAUUAGUGUUCUUUGUUUUGCUAAAAUUUUGUAUAUUGUUAUCAAGGGAAAUAGGAAGCGUUUGAUAGUGUUAUUAGGUCUGUUUGUGUUUUAAUUUUGUAUAUUUGUUAUCAAAGAAAUGAGGAAGAUUGAUAGUGUUAAAUUAGUGUUCUUGUUUUGCUAAAUUUUGUAUAUUGUUAUCUUGAAAUAGAAGAUUGCAUGAGUGUUAUUUAGCUGUUUCUUGUUUGGGGCUAAUUUGUAUAUUGUUAUCAAGAAAUGAGAAAGAUUGAUAGUUGUGAUUAGUGUUCUUGUUUUGCUUAAAUUUUGUAUAUGUUAUCAAGAAAUGAGAAGAUUGGAUAAUUGUUUAUUAGUGUUCUUUGUUGCUAAAUUUUGUAUAUUGUUAUCAAAGAAAUGAGAAGGGUGAUAGUUUUAUUAGUGUUUCUUGUUUUGCUAAAUUUUGUAUAUUGUUAUCCAAGAGAUGAGAAGAUUGAUGAGUGUUUAUUUGUGUUCUUGGUAUCAAGAAAACGUUUGACGCUGACCCUUAUUAGCAAAAUCUCUCAAAAAUGAAAAAGCAGUGCAAUGGGGAAUUCUCCAUGGCUUCUGUUCAGUCAAAUAAGGAUAUGGAAGAUCACAAACCAAGUCGGAUGUAAGUCAUGACGCCACUGUUCGGUUUUGAAUUUAUGAUCGGCUUCGUAAGGCCACACCACUGCUUUCCUAUAUUCGUACGCACAUCUUCAGGACUGUUAUUAUGUGAGUUAUAUCUUUACUUCUUUUUUUUAGCAUACUAAUGUCGUAUAUUGCGUUAUCAAGAAAAUGAGAAGAUUGAAUAGUGUGAAAUUAGUGUUCUUUUUUGCUAAAUUUUUGUAUAUGUUAUCAGAAAUGAGGAAAGAUUGAUAGUGUUAUUAGUGUUUCUUGUUUUGCUAAAUUUUGCUUAUAUUUGUUAUCAAAAGAAAAUUUGAAGCAUUGAUUAGUGUUAUGGGAGGUUCUUGUUUGCUAAGUUUGGUAUUAUUUGUUAUCAAGAAAUGAGGGGAAAGAUUGAUAGUGUGAUUAGGUGUUCUUGUUUGCUAAAUUUUGUUGAUAUGUGUUAUCAAGAAAUGAGAAGAUUGGAUAAUGUUAUUAGUGUUUCUUGUUUUGCUAAAGUUCUGUAUAUCGUUUAUCAAUAAAUUGAGAAAGAUUGAUAGUGUUAUUAGUUUGUUCUUGUUUUUAUGCUAAAUUUUGAUAGGAUUGUAUCAAGAAAUUGGAGAAGAUUGGAUAGUGUUAUUAGUUGUUUUGUUUUGGCCUAAAUCUUGUAUAUUGUUAUCAAGAAAUUGAGGAGAAGCAUUGAUAGUGUUAUUUGUGUUCUUGUGUUUGCCUAAAAUUUUAUCUAUAUGUUUAUCAAAAAAAUCAGAAGCAUUUGCGCAUAGUGUUACUUUAGUUUCUUGUUUUGCUAAAUUUGAUAUUGUUUAUCAAGAAAAUAGGCCAAAGGCUUGAGUUUAGUGUUAUUAGUGUUCUUAUUUGUGACUUUUUAAUUUUGUAUAUUGUUAUCAAGAAAGGAAAGAAGAUUGAUAGUGUUAUUAGUGUUCUUGUUUUGCUAAAUUUGUUAUAUUGUUAUCAAGAAUGAGAAGAUUGAUAGUGUUAUUAGUGUGUUUCUUGUUUUGCUAAAUUUUGUAUAUUGUUAUCAAGAAAUGAGAAGAAUUGAUAGUGUUCGUGUUGAUUAGUGUUCUUUUUUGCCUAAAUUUUGUAUAUGUUAUCAAGAAAUGAGAAGAUUUUGAUAAUGUUAUUAGUGUUCUUGUUUGUGCCUUAAAAUUUUGGUAUGAUUGUUUAUCAAAGAAAUGAAGAAAGAUGAUAGUGUUAUUAGUGUUCUUGUUUUGCUAAAUUUUGUAUAUUGAUAUCCAAGAAAUGAGAAAGAUUGAUAGUGUGAUUAGUGUUCUUGUUUUGCUAAAUUUGCUAUUAUUGUUAUCAAGAAAUGAGAAGAUUGAUAAUGUUUAUUAGUGUUUUCUUGUUUUGCUAAAUUUGGUAUAUUUUAUCAAGAAAUGAGGAAGAUUUAUUUAGUGUUAUUAAGUGUUCUUGUUUUUGCUAAAAUUUUGUAUUAUUAUUAUCAAGAAAUGAGAAGGUGAUAGUGUUAUUAGUGUUCUUGCUUUUGCAAAAUUUUGUAUAUUGUUAUCAAGAAAUGAGAAGAUUGAUAGUGUUGUUAUGAGUGUUCUUAGUUAUUCAUGAAACGGUUGACGCUGACCCUUUAGCCAAAAAAUCUCUCAAAAAUGAAAAGGCAUUGCCAUAGGGAAUUCUCCAUGGGCUUUACUAUUCAGUCAAAUAAGAUAUGGAAGAUCACAACCAAGUCUAGGUAAAGUCAUGACGCACUGUUCGUUUGGAAUUUCAUUGAUUGGCUUCAAAGGGCCACACGACUGACUUCAAGAUACGUACGCACAUCUUUAGGGACUCUAUUACGUGAGUUAUUUUUUGGCUUCUUUUUUCUUAGCAUACUAAUAUACGUCUAAAUAUGUUAUCUAAAAGAAUGAGAAAAGAUUUGAAUAUUGUUACUAUGUUAAUUAUAGCUAACUUUGCAUCCUAAUUUGUCAUAUUGUACAAGAAAGAGAAAGAUAGAUCCGUAGUAAAACCCUUGAGUUGUGUCGUGUUUUGUCUUGAGAUUUUCCUGUAUUAUAAUGUCAUCAAGAAAUGGAGGAAGAUGAAUAGUGUGAUUUGAUGUUCUUCAGUUUUAGUCUAAAAUUUUUUUAUAUUACUGGUUACAAGGAGAAUGAAGAAAAGAUAUUGAUAUGUUCAUAGUGUCCGUAUCUUCUGUUCUGUUGCUAAAUUUAUGGUUAUACUAUGUUAUCAAUAGAAAAUGAGAAGAUGAUAGUGUAUUAUUCGUCUCCUUUGUUUUGAAACUCAUAAUAUUUAUAUGUAUAUCAGAGAAAAUCGAGAUAAUUGAUGAGUGGAUUAUAUUCGUUGUUUUGCAAACUUUGUGAUAAUUGUGUUAGUCAAGAAAUGAGUGAAGAUUGAUAUGUGUAUUAGUGUUCUUGUUUUGCUAACCAUUGUAUAUUAUAUCUACAGAGGAAUGAAAGGAUUGAUAAAUGUUAUUAGUGUCUUGUUGGUAAAAUUUGUAAUAUAUGUUAUCAAGAAAUGAGAAGAUUGAAUAGUGUUUUAUUUAGUGUUCUUGUUUUUCGCUAAAUUGUUGUAUAUUGAUAUCAAGAAAUAGGAAGGUGAUAGUGUUCAUUAGGUUCUUGUUGUAAUUUUUGUAUAUUGUUAUGAAGAAAUGAGAAGUAUGAUAGUGUUAUUAGUGUUCUUGUUUGCUAAAUUUUGUAUAUUGUGUAUCAAGAAAUGAGAAGAUUGAUAAGUGUUAUUAGUGUUCUUGUUUUGCUAAAUUUUUGUAUAUGUUAUCAAGAAAGAAUGAGAAGAUUGAUUAGUGUAUUUAGUGUUUCUUGUUUUGCUAAGUUUGUAAUAUUGUUAUCCAAGAAAUGAGAAACUUUGAUUAAUGUUAUGUUAGUAUGUUCUUGUUUUGCUAAAUUUUGUAUAUAUUGUUAUCAAGAAAGAGAAGGUAUGAUAGUGUAUUUAGUGUUCUUGUUUUGCUAAAUUUUUGUAUAUUGCGUAUCAAGAAAUGAGAAGAUUGAUAGUGUAUUAGUGUUACUUGUUAUCAAGAAACGUUUGACGCUGAGCCCUUUAGCAAAAUCUCUCAAAAAUGAAAGGCAUUUCGCCAUGGGGAAUUCUCCAUGGCUCUGUUCAGUCAAAUAAGAUUGAAGAUCACACAAGUCGAAUGUAAGUCAUGACCAACUGUCGUUUGAUUUAUGAGCUGAAGGCCAACCCACUGCUUCCUAUAUCUACGCACUCUCAGACUCAUAGUUCAUUCUUUAGCUUCUUUUUUUUAAGGCGAACUGAUUGUGUAAUGUUAUGCAAGAAUGAGAAAGCUGAUAGGUUAUUAGUGUUCUUGUUUGCUAAAUUGUGUAUUUGUUAUAGAGAAUGAGAAAAAAAUUAGUGUUAUUUAGUUGGUUCUUUUUUCGUAAAUUUUGUAUAUUGUUAUCAAGAAAUGAGAAGAUUUGAUAGUGUUAUUAGUGUCUUGUUUUGCUAAUUUGUAUAAAUUGUUAAUCCAAGGAAAUGAGAAAGAUUGAUAGUUAUAGUGUUCUUGUUUUGCUAAAUUUUGUAUUUGAGUUUAUCAAGAAAUGAGAAGAUUGAUAAUGUUAUUAGUGUUCUUGUUUUCUAAAUUUUGUAUAUCGUUAUCAAUAAAAUGAGAAGAUUGAUAGUGUUAUUAGUGUUCUUGUUUUUGCUAAAUUUUGUAUAUUUGAUAUCAAGAAAUGAGAAGAUUGAUAGUGGUAUAGUGUUCUUGUUUUGCUAAAUUUUGUAUAUGUUCAUCAAGAAAUGAGAAGAUUGAUAUUUUAUUUGUGUUCUUGUUUUGCUAAAUUUGUAUAUUAUUGUUAUCAAAAACGAAGAAAUAAUGUGUGUUAUUAGUGUUCUUGCUUUUCGCUUUAAUUUAUGUUAUUGUUAUUCAAGAAAUAGAAGUUGAUAGUGUUAUUAGGUGUUCUUGUUUUGUAACAUUUCUAAUUUGUAUAUUGCUUAUUCAAGAAAUGCAGGAAGAUUUGAUAGCUGUUAUUAGUGUUCUUGGUUUUUGACUAAAUUUUGUAUAUUGUUAUCAAGAAAUGAGGAAGCAUUGAUUAGUGUUAUUAGUGUUCUUGUUUUGCAAAUUUUGUAUAUGGUUAUCAAAGAAAUGAGAAGAUUGAUAGUGUGAUUAGUGUCUUGUUGUGCCUAAAUUUUGUAUAUUGUUAUCAAGAAAAUUGAGGAAGAUUGCAUAAGUUAUUAAUGUUCUUGUUUUUGCUUAAAUUUUGUAUAUUGUUAUCAAGCAAAUGAGAAGAUUGCAUAGUGUUAGUAGCUGUUCUUAUUUUGCCUAAAUUUUGUAUAUGAUCAAAGAAGAUUGAGAGAUUGAUAGUGUUAUGAGUGUUCUUGUUGUGCCUAAAUUUUGUUAUAUUGUUAUCAAGAAAAUGAGAAGGAUUGAUAACGUGUUAUUAGUGUUUCUUGUUUUGCCCUAAAUUUGUACAUUGUUAUCAAGAAAUGAGGAGAUUGAUAUGUUAUUAGGGUUCUUGUUUGGCUAAAUUUUGUAUAUUGUUAUCAAGGGAAAAUGAGAAGAUGUUGAUAGUUGUUAUUAGUGUUCUUGUUUUUGCUAAGUUGUAUAUUUUAUCAAAGAAAUGCAGAAGAUUGGAUUAGUGUUGAUUAGUGAUUCUUGUUUUCGCUUAAAUUUGGUAUAUUGUUUAUCAAAAACAUGAGAAGAUUGAUAAUGUUAUUAGUGGUUCUUGUUUUGCUAAAUUUUGUAUUAUGUUAUCAAGAGAAUAGGAGAAGAUUUGAUAGUGUUAUUAGUGUUCUUGUUUUGCUAAAAUUUUGUAUAUUGAUUAUCAAAAAUGAGAAGGAUUGAUAGGUUAUUAGUGUUCUUGUUUUUGCUAAAAUUUUGUAUAUUUGAUUAUCAAGAAAUGGGGAAGAUUGAUAUUGUAUUAUUGUAUCUUGGUUUUGCUAAAUUUUUCUUUAUUGUUAUCAAGAAAAUCAGAAGAUUGAUAGUGUUAUUUGUGGUUCUUGCUUUUUUGCUAAAUUUUUGUAUGAUUGUUAUCCAAGAAAGAGAGAAUUGAUAGUGUUAUUAGUUGUUCCUUGUUUUGCUAUAAUUUUGUAUAUUGUUUAUCAAGAAAUCAGAAGCUUGAUGUGUUAUUAGUCGUUCUUGUUUUUGUUAAUUUUGAUAUAUUGAUUAUCAAGAAAUGAGGAAAGAUUGAUAGUGUUAAUUUAGUGUUUUUCUUUUUGCUAAAUAUUGUUAGUAUUGGUUAUCAGGAAAUGAGAAGAUUGAUAGUGUUAUUAGUGUUCUUUUUUUGCAAAAAUUUUGUUUAUUUUAGUUUCGAAAAUGAGAAGAUGUUAGUGAUAUUAUGUUCUUGUUUUUGCUAAAAUUUUGGUUAUAUUUUGUUAUCAAAGAAAUUGGAAAAGAUUGAUUAUUUUGUUAUUAGUGUUUCUUGUUUUGCUAAAAUUUUUGUAUAUUUGGUAUUUUCAAAAAAAGGGAAAUGAGGAAAGGUGUGAUUAAGUGCUUAUUUUAGUUGUUUCCUUGUUUUGGCUUUAAAAUUUUUGGGUUUGUAUUUAUUGGUUUUAAUUCAAAAAAAAAGGGAAAAUUUUGAGGGGGGAAGAUUUUGGAUGUUUUUUUUUUUCCCCCUCCCUCCCUUUUUUUUCCCCGGNAGAAAUGAGAAGAUUGAUAGUGUUAAGUGUUCUAGUUUUGAUCAAAAUUUUGUAUAUUGUUAUCAAGAACAAUGAGAAGGAUGUGAUAGUGUUAUUAGUGAUUCUCUUGUUAUUUGCUAAAUUUUUUGUAUAUUCGUUAUCAAGAAACGAGAAGAUUGAUAGUGUAUUAGUGUUUGUUUGUUUGCUUCAAAUUUUCGUAUUAUUGGUUAUCCAAGAAAUGAGAAGAUUGAUAGUGUAUAUUAGUGUCUUGUUUUCGUAAAUUUGUAUAUUGUUAUCAAGAAAUGAGAAGAUUGAUAUUGUUUUAUUAGUUUUCUUGUUUUGCUAAAUUUUGUAUAUUGUUAUCAAGAAAGAGAAAGAAUAAGUGUUAUUAGUGUUCUUGUUUUGCGAAAUUUUGUAUAUUGUUAUCAAGAAAUGAGAAGAUUGAUAGGCGUUAUUAGUUCUUGUUUUGCCUAAAAUUUGUAUAUUGUUAUCAAGAAAUGAGAAGAUUGAUAGUAUUAUUAGUGUUCUUGUUUUGCUAAAUUUUGUAUAUUGUUAUCAAGAAAUGAGCAGAUUGAUAGUGUUAUAGUUUCUUGUUUUGCUAAAUUUUUAUAUUAUUAUCAGAAAUGAGAAGUGAUAGUGUUUUAUGUUUUGCUUUUGCCUAAAUUAUUGCAAUAUUGUUAUCAAGAAAUGAGAAGCAUAUAGUUAUAUUAUUCUUGCUGAUCAAGUAAACUUACGUGGACAGCAGAUUCAAAAUAGCAUUCAUGCGAUACGUUCCAUGCUCUGUUAGCAAUGAAUGGAUAACUGUGUAAUCUGAAUGUUCGUUUGAAUUAAUGAUGGCUUCGCCAAAUCAUUGUUCUAUAUUGACGCCACAUCAGGGAACGAUAUAGUGAGUUAUUCAUUUGCUUCUUGUUUCUAUAAUAUAAUGCUGUAUUAUUGUUAUCAAGAAAUGAGAAGAUGAUAGUGUUAUUAGGUUUCUUGGUUUUGCUAAAUUUUGUAUUGAUUGCUUAUUCAGAAAUGAGAAGAAUUGAUAAGUGUGAUUAGUGUUCUUGUUUUGCUAAAUUUUGUAUAUUGGUAUCAAGAAUGAGAAGAUUGCAUAUGUUAUUAGUCCUUCUUGUUUUGCCUAAAUUUUGUGUAUAUAUGUUAUCAGAGAAAUGAGAGGUUGAUAGUGUUAUUAGUGUUCUUGUUUGCUAAAUUUUUGUAUAUUGUUAUCAGAAAUGCAGAAGCAUUUUGAUAGUGUUAAUUGACUGUUCUUGUUAUCAAGAAACGUUGACGCUUGACCCUUUAGCAAAAUUCUCAAAAAUGAAAGGCAUUGCCAUGGGGAAUUCUCCAUGGCUUUCUUUUAAGUCAAUAAGGAUAUGGAAGCAUCACAACCAAGCUCGAUGUAUUUCUAAGUGUCAUUGACACACUGUUCGUUUGAAUUAAUGAUGGCGCUUCAAAGCCACCACCACUGCUUCCUAUAUUCGUACGCACAUCUUAGCGACUCUUAUUACGUGAGUUAUUUCUUUGCUUCUUUUUUUGCUAAAUUGGUAUAUUGUUAUCAAGAAAUCGAGAAGAUUGAUAGUUGUUAUUGGUUAUUGUUUCAAAUGUUUUGUUCAGGUAAUUGAGAGAUUGAUAAAUAGGUUUGUUGUUCCAAUUGUAUAUUGUUAUCAAGAAAUGCAGAAGAUUGAUAGGUUAUUAGUGUUCUUGGUUUUUCUAAAUAUGUCGUAUAUUUUGUCAAGAAAUGAGAAGAUUUGGAUUAGUGUAUACUUCUUGUUGCAUUCUUGUAUAUUGUCAGAAAUAGAGAAGAUUUAUGUUUUAUGUUCUUUAAUUGUUAUUUUUAUCAAGAAAUGAGAAGGUUGCAUAGUGUUAUCUAGUGUUCUUGUUUGCCUAAUAUUUGUAUAUUGUUAUAAAGAAAUGCAAAGAUUGAUAGUGUUAUUAGUGUUCUUGUUUUGCUAAAUUUUGUAUAUUGUUUAUCAAAAGAAAUGAUGAAGAUUGGUAGGUUAUUAGUGUUCUUGCUUUGAUGAAUUUGUUAUAUUCGUUGAUUCAAGAAAUGAGGAAGAUUGAUAGUGUUAUUAGUGUUUCUUGUUUUGACUAAAUUUUGUUUAUUGUUAUCAAGAAACGACAGAAGAUUGAUAGUGUAUUGGUGCUUCUUGUUUUGCUUAAAUUUUGUAUAUUGUAUCAUCUAACGCAAAUGCAGAAGACUUGAUAGUUUAAUUAGUGUUCUUGUUUUCUAAAUUUUUGUAGUAUGUUAUCAAAGAAAUGAGAAGAUUGAUAGUGUUAUGUAGUUUCGUUGUUUGACUAAAUUUAGUAUAUAAGUUAUCACAGAAAAUGAGAACGUUGAUAGGUUAUAGUGUUCUGUUUUGCUAAAUUUUUGUAUAUGCUUAUAUCUAAGAAAUGAAAGAUUGAUAGUGUUAUUAGUGUUCUGUUAUCAAGAAACAUUUAGACGCUGACCCUACCAAAACUCUCCUCCAAAAUGAAAGCUUUUCAUGCGGAAUUCUCCAUGGCUUCUGUUUAAGUCAAAUAAGAUAAUGGAAGAUUCACAACAUAGCGAUGAUAAAGCGCAUGACGCAUUUCGUCUCGUGAAUUUAUGGAAGGCUUCAAGCCACAACCAUGCUGCUCCUAUAUCCGUACGCACACUUUAGGCACUCUAUUAACGUGGAGUUAUUUUUUUGCUUCUUUUUUCCUUAGCAAACUUACUGAAUAUGUUAUCGUAAGAAAUGAAAAGAUUGAUAGUCGCUUAUUAGCUGCUUCUUGUUUUUGCUAAAUUUUGCUAUAUGUUUAUAAGAAAUCGAGAAAUUGAUAGUGUUUAUUACGUAGUGUUCUGUUUUGCUAAAUUUGAUUAUAUGUUAUAUCGGAAGAAAUGAUGAAUGAUGAUAGAGUGUUUAGUUUUACUGUUAUUGCUAAAAUUUGUAAUAUUGAUAAGAAUGCAGAAGAAUUGAAGUGUGGCUAUUAGUGAUUACGUCUGUUUGUCUAAAUUUUGUAUAUUGUUAUUCAGAAAGAGAGUAAGAUAUGUAUUAGUGUUAUUAGUGCUUCUUGAUUUUUUUAUUUUGAUGAAUUUGUAUAUUGUUAUCAAGAAAUGAGAGAUUGAUAGUGUUAUUAGGUGUGCUUGUUUUACUAAAUUUUGCUAUAUUGUUAUCAAGAAACGAGAAGAUUGAUAGUGUUAUGGUCGUUCCUUGCUUUUUCUAAAUUUGUAUAUUGUUAUCAAGAAAUAGAAGAUGAUACGUGUUAUUAGUGUUCCUUGCUUUUGCCUAAAUUUUGUAUAUUGUAUAUCAAGAAAUUGAGAAAUUGAUAGUGUUAUAGUCUUCUUGUUUGCUAAAUUUUGUAUAUUAUUUCAAGAAAUGAGAAGGUUGAUGUAGUGUUUUAGUGUCAUAGUUUUGCCUAAAAUAUUGUAUAUUUUAUCAAGCAAAAUGAAGUAAGAUUGCAUAGUGUUAUUAGUGUUCUUAGUUAUCAAGAAAAACGUUUGACCUGCACCAGUUAGCUGAAAAUCUCUCAAAAAAUGAAGGCGUUGCCAUUGGGGAAUUCUUCCAUUGGCUUCUUUUAAGUCAAAUAAGGAUAUGCGAAGCCAUCACAACCAAGUCGCAUGUAAGCCAUGACGCACUAGUUCGUUUUGAAUUUAUGAUGGCUUCAAAGGCCACACCAUUGCUUGCCUAUAUUCGUACGCCCACAAUCUUUAGCGAAAACUCUAUUAAGUGGAGUUAUUUCUUUGCUUCUUCUUUUUCUUAGCAUACUAUCUGUAUAUUGAUUAUCAAGAAAAAUGCCCAGAAGAUUGCAUAGUGUUAUUAGUGCUCCUUGUUUUGCUAAUUUUGUUAUAUAUUUAAUCAAGAAAUGAGAAGAUUGAUUACUGUUAUUACUGUUCUUGUUUUGCUAAAUUUUUGUAUAUUGUUAUCAAGAAAUGCAGAAGAUGAUAGUGUUAUAGUGUUCUUGUUUUGCAUUGAAUUUUAGUAUAUUGUUAUCAGAAAUGAGCAAAGAUUGAUAGUGUUAUUAGUGUUUCUUGUUACUAAAUUAUUUAUAUAUUGGUUUAUCAGAAAACGCAGAGAUGCAUAGUGUUAUUAGUGUUCUUGUUUUGCUAAAUUUUGUAAUCUUGCUUUAUCAAGAAAUGAGAAGCCAUUGCAUAGUGUUAUUAGUGUUCUUUGUUAUCAAGAACACGUGUUGCACGCUGACCCAUUUAGCAAAAUCUCUCAAAAAUGAAGGCGUUGCCAUGGCGGGAAUUCUCCAUGGCGCAUCUUCUUUUAAGUCAAUAAGGAUAUGGAAGAUCACAACCAAGGUCGACUGUAAGCCCAUGACGCCACUGUCGUUUGAAUUUAUGAUGGCUUCAAAGCCACACCAAUUGCUUCCUAUAUCCGUACGCCACAUCUUCUAGGACUCUAUUAAGUGAGUUAAGUUAUUUCUGGUUAUUUUGCCUUACUUUUUUCUUAGCCAUACUUAUCUGUUAUAUUGUUAUUCAAGAAAAUGAGGAAGAUUGAUAGCUGUAUUAGUGUCCCUUGUUUUGCUAAAUAUUUGCUAUAUUAUAUCAAAGUCAAAUGAGGAAGAUGAUAGUGUUAUUACUGUUCUUGUUUGCUAAAAUUAUGUAUAUUGUUAUAAAGAAAUGAGAAGAUUGAUAGUGUAUUAGUGUUCUAAUUUUGCUAUAUUAAGCUUAUCAAGAAAUGAAAGAAGAUGAUAGUGUUAUUCAGUGCUUCUGCUUUUACUAAAUUUGUUAAUUGUUAUCAAGAAACGCAGAAGAUUGAUAUGCUUAUUAGUGUUCUUGUUUUGCCUAAAAUAUUGCAAAUGAAAGGCAUUGCCAUGGGGAAUUCUCCAUGGCUUCUAUUCAGUCAAAUAAGGAUAUGGAAGAUCACAACCAAGUCGAUGUAAGCCAUGACGCACUGUUCAUUUGAAUUUAUGAUGGCUUCAAAAGCCACACCACUACUUCCUAUAUCCGUACGCACAUCUUUAGGACUCUAUUACGUGAGUUAUUUCUUUGCAUCUUUUUUCUUAUCAUACUUAUCUGUAUAUUGUUAUCAAGAAAUGAAAAGAUUGAUAGUGUUAUUAGUGUUUUUGUUUUGCUAAAUUAUGUAUAUUGUUAUCAAGAAAUGAGAAGAUUGAUAUUGUUAUUAGUGUUCUUGUUUUGCUAAAUUUUGUAAAUUGUUAUCAAGAAAUGAGAAGAUUGGUCGUGUUAUUAGUGUUCUUCUUUUGCUAAAUUUUGUAUAUUAUUAUCAAGAAAUGAGAAGCUUGAUAGUGUUAUUAGUCUUCUUGUUUUGCUAAAUUUUGUAUAUUAUUAUCAAGAAAUGAGAAGGUUGAUAGUGUUAUUAGUGUUCUUGUUUUGCUAAAUUUUGUAAAGAGAGAGAUUAACUCUAUUAUGUGAGUGUAUUCUUGCCUCGUUUUUUUCUUGAGCAAUAUCUAUCUGUAUAUUGUAUCCAAGAAAUGAGAAAGAUUGAUAGUGUUUAUUGUGUUCUUGUUUGCUAAAUUUUAUAUAUUUGUUAUCAAAGAAAUGAGAAGAUUGAUAGUGUUAUUAGGUUCUUGUUUUGCUAAAUUUGUAUAUUGUUAUCAGAAAUGAGAAGAUUGAAGUGUUAUUAGUGUUUUUUGUUUUGAAAUUUUGUAUAUUGUUAUCAAGAAAUGAGAAGAUUGAUAGUGUUAUUAGUGUUCUUGUUUUGCUAAAUUUUUUAUAUUGUUAUCAGAAAGAGAAGAUUGAUAGUGUUAUUAGUGUUCUUGUUUUGCUAAUUUUUGUAUAUUGUUAUCAAGAAAUGAGAAGAUUGAUAGUGUUAUUAGUGUUCUUGUUUUGUAAAUUUUGUAUAUUGUUAUCAAGAAAUGAGAAAUUGAUAGUGUUAUUAGUGUUCUUGUUAUCAAGAAAUGUUUGACGCUGACCCUUUAAGAAUCUCUCAAAAAUGAAAGGCAUUGCAUGGGAAUUCUCCAUGGCUUUUUGUUCAGUCAAAUAAGGAUAUGGAAGAUCACAACAGUGAUGUAAGUCAUGACGCCUGUUCUUUUGAAUUUAUGAUGGCUUCAAAGGCCACACCACUGCUUCCUAUAUCGUACGCACAUCUUUAGGACUCUUUUACGUGAGUUAUUUUUUGCUUCUUUUUUCUUAGCAUACUAAUCUGUGUAUAUUGUUAUCAAGAAAUGAGAAGAUUGAUAGUGUUAUUAGUGUUCUUGUUUUGCUAAAUUUUGUAUAUGUUAUGCAAAGAAAUGAGAAGAUUGAUAGUGUUAUUAGUGUUCUUGUUUGCAAAAUUUGUAUAUUGUUAUCAAGAAAUGAAAAGAUUGAUAGUGUAUAGUGUUCUUGUUUGCUAAAUUUUGUAUAUUGUUAUCAGAAAUGAGAAGAUUGAUAUGUUUUAUUAGUGUUCUUGUUUUGCUAAUUUUGUAUAUUGUUAUCAAGAAAUGAGAAGAUUGAUAGUGUUAUUAGUGUUCUGUUUUGCUAUUUUGAAUAUUGUAUCAAGAAAUGAGAAGAUUGAAAGUGUUAUAGUGUUCUUGUUUGCUAAAUUUUGUAUUUUUAUCAAGAAAUGAGAAGAUUGAUAGUGUUAUUUGUGUUUUUGUUUUGCUAAAUUUUGUAUAUUGUUAUCAAGAAAUGAAGAUUGAUAGUGUUAUUAGUGUCUUGUUUUGCUAAAUUUUGUAUAUUGUUAUCAAGAAAUAGGAAGGUUGAUAGUGUUAUUAGUGUUUCUUGUUUGCUAAUUUUGUAUAUUGUUAUCAAGAAAUGAGAAGAUUGAUAGUGUUAUUAGUGUUCUUGUUAUCAAGAAACGUUUUGACGCUGACCCUUUAGCAAAAUCUCUCAAAAUGAAAGGCAUUGCCAUGGGGAAUUCUCCAUGGCUUUUAUUCAGUCAAAUAAGGAUAUGGAAGAUCACAACCAAGUCGAUGUAAGCCAUGCCGCACUGUUCGUUUGAAUUUAUGAUGGCUCAAAGGCCACACCACUGCUUCCUAUAUCGUACGCACAUCUUUAGACUCUAUUAUGUGAGUUAUUUCUUUGCUCUUUUUCUUAGCAUACUAUCUGUAUAUUUUUCAAGAAAUGAGAAGAUUGAUAGUGUUAUUGUGUUCUUGUUUUGCUAAAUUUUUUGUUAUUUAUCAAGAAAUGAGAGAUUGAUAGUGUUAUUAGGUUCUUGUUUUGCUAAAUUUUGUAUAUUGUUAUCAAGAAAUGAGAAGAUUGAGUGUUAUUAGUGUUUUUUGUUUUGUAAAUUUGUAUAUUGUUAUCAAGAUGAGAAGAUUGAUAGUGUUAUUAGUGUUCUUGUUUUGCUAAAUUUUGUAUAUUGUUAUCAAGAAAGAGAAGAUUGAUAGUGUUAUUAGUGUUCUUGUUUUCUAAAUUUUGUAUAUUGUUAUCAAGAAAUGAGAAGAUUGAUAGUGUUAUUAGUGUUCUUGUUUUGAUAAAUUUUGUAUAUUGUUAUCAAGAAAUGAGAAAUAUUGAUAGUGUUAUUAGUGUUCUUGUUAUCAAGAAACGUUUGACGCUGACUCCUUUAGCAAAAAUCUCUCAAAAUGAAAGGCAUUGCCAUGGGGAAUUCUCCAUGGCUUCUGUUCAGUCAAAUAAGGAUAUGGAAGAUCACAACCAAGUCGAUGUAAGUCAUGACGCACUGUUCUUUAAUUUAUGAUGGCUUCAAAGCCACACCACUGCUUCCUAUAUUCGUACGCACAUCUUUAGGAUUUUAUUACGUGAGUUAUUUCUUUGCUUCUUUUUUCUUAGCAUACUAAUCUGUAUAUUGUUAUCAAGAAAUGAGAAGAUUGAUAGUGUUAUAGUGUUCUUGUUUUGCUAAAUUUGUAUAUUGUUAUCAGAAUAAUGGAAGAUUGAUAGUGUUAUUAGUGUUCUUGUUUUGCUAAAUUUUUGUAUAUUGUUAUCAAGAAAUGAGAAGAUUGAUAGUGUAUUAGUGUUCUUGUUUUGCUAAUUUUUUGAUAUGUAUCAAGAAAUGAGAAGAUUGAUAGUGUUUAUAGUGUUCUUGUUUGCUAAAUUUUGAUAUUGUUAUCAAGAAAUGAGAAGAUUGAUAGUGUUAUUGUGUUUUGUUUGCUUAAAUUUUGUAUAUUGUUAUCAAGAAAUGAGAAGAUUGAUAGUGUAUUAGUUGUCUUUUUGCUAAAUUUUGUAUAUUGUUAUCAAGAAAUAGAAGUUGAUAGUGUUAUUAGUGUUCUUGUUUGCUAAUUUUGUAUAUUGUUAUCAAGAAAUGAGAAGAUUGAUAGUGUAUAGUGUUAUUAGUNNNNNNNNNNUAGUUAUUGUAUGCAAAAAUGAGAAGAUUGAUAGUGUUAUUAGUUUUCUUGUUUUGUAAAUUUUGUAUAUUGUUAUCAAGAUGAGAAGAUUGAUAGUGUUAUUAGUGUUCUUGUUUUGCUAAAUUUUGUAUAUUGUUAUAAGAGAGAAGAUUGAUAGUGUUAUUAGUGUUUUAUGAUAGUGUUAUUAGUGUUCUUGUUAUCAAGAAACGUUUGACGCUGACCCUUUAGCAAAUUCUCUCAAAAAUGAAAGGCAUUGCCAUGGGGAAUUCUCCAUGGCUUCUAUUCAGUCAAAUAAGGAUGUGGAAGAUCACAACCAAGUCGAUGUAUGUCAUGACGCACUGUUCAUUUGAAUUUGUGAUGGCUUCAAAGGCCACACCACUACUUCCUAUAUUCGUACGCACAUCUUUAGGACUCUAUUACGUGAGUUAUUUCUUUGCUUCUUUUUUCUUAGCAUACUACUAUGUAUAUUGUUAUCAAGAAAUGAGAAGAUUGAUAGUGUUAUUAGUGUUCUUGUUUUGCUAAAUUUUGUAUGUUGUUAUCAAAAAAUAAGAAGAUUGAUAGGGUUAUUAGUGUUCUUGUUUUGCUAAAUUUUGUAUAUUGUUAUCAAGAAAUAAGAAGAUUGAUAGUGUUAUUAGUGUUCUUGUUUUGCUAAAUAUUGUAUAUUGUUAUCAAGAAAUGAGAAGCUUGAUAGUGUUAUUAGUCGUCUUGUUUUGCUAAAUUUUGUAUAUUAUUAUCAAGAAAUGAGUAGAUUGAUAGUGUAUUAGUGUUCUUGUUUUGCUAAAUUUGUAUAUGUUAUCAAGAAAUGAGAAGAUUGAUAUGUUAUUAGUGUUCUUGUUUUGCUAAAUUUGUAUAUUGUUAUCAAGAAAUGAGAAGAUUGAUAGUGUUUAUUAGUGUUCUUGUUUUGCUAAUUGUAUAUUGUUAUCGAAGAUGAAAGAUUGAUAUGUUAUUAGUGUUCUUGUUUUGCUAAAUUUUGUAUAUUGUUAUCAAGAAAUGAGAAAGAUUGAUAGUGUUAUUAGUGUUCUUGUUUGCUAAAUUUUGUAUAUUGUUAUCAAGAAAUGAGAAGAUUGAUAGUGUUAUUAGUGUUCUUGUUUUGCUAAAUUUGUUAUAUGUUAUCAAGAAAUGAGAAGAGUAUAGUGUUAUUAGUGUUCUUGUUUGCUAAAUUUUGUAUAUUGUUUCAAGAAAUAGAAGAUUGAUAGUGUAUUAUGUUCUUGUUUUGCUAAAUUUUGUAUAUUGUUAUCAAGAAAUGAGAAGAUUGAUAGUGUUAUUAGUGUUCUGUUUUUGCUAAUAUUGUAUAUUGUUAUCAAGAAAUGAGAGAAGAUUGAUAGUGUUAUUAGUUUCUGUUUUGCUAAAUUUUGUAUAUUGUUAUCAAAGAAUGAGAAGAUUGAUAGUUUAUAUGUUCUUGUUUUGCUAAAAUUUGUAUAUUGUUAUCAAGAAAUGAGAAAGAUUGAUAGUGUUAUUGUGUUCUUUUUUUCUAAAUUUUGUAUAUUUUUAUCAGAAAUGAGAAGAUGAUAGGUUAUUAUGUUCUGUUUUGCUAAAUUUGUAUAUUAUACAAGAAAUGAGAGAUUGUAGUGUAUUAGUGUUCUUGUUUUCUAAAUUUUGUAUAUUGUAUCAAGAAAUGAGAAGAUUGAUAGUGUUAUUAGUGUUCUUGUUUUGCAAAAUUUGUAUAUGUUAUCAAGAAAUGAGAGGAUUGAUAGUGUUAUUAGUGUUCUUUUUGCUAAAUUUUGUAUAUUUAUACAGAAAUGAGAAGAUUGAUAGUGUUAUUAGUGUUCUUGUUUUGCUAAAUUUUGUAUAUUGUUAUCAAGAAAUGAGAAGAUUGAUAGUGUUAUUAGUGUUUUGUUUUGCUAAAUUUUGAUAUUGUUAUCAAGAAAUAGAAAGAUUGAUAGUGUUAUUAGUGUUCUUGUUUUGCUAAAUUUGUAUAUUGUUAUCAAAAUGAGAAGAUUGAUAGUGUUAUUAGUGUUUUGUUUUGCUAAAUUUUAUAUUGUUAUCAAGAAAUGAGAAGAUUGAUAGGUUAUUAGGUUUCGUUUUGCUAAAUUUUGUAUAUGUUAUCAAGAAAUGAGAAGAUUGAUAGGGUUAUUAUGUUCUUUUGUUUUGCUAAAUUUUGUAUAUUUAUCAAGAAAUAAGAAGAUUGAUAGUGUUAUUAGUGUUCUUGUUUUGCUAAAUUUUGUAUAUUGUUAUCAAGAAAUGAGAAGUUUGAUAGUGUUAUUAGUGUCUUGUUUUGCUAAAUUUGUAUAUUUUAUCAAGAAAUGAGAAGUUGAUAGUGUUAUUAGUGUUCUUGUUUUGUAAAUUUGUAUAUGUUAUCAAGAAAUGAGAAGAUUGAUAGUGUUAUUAGUGUUCUUGUUUUGCUAAAAUUUGUAUAUGUUAUCAGAAAUGAGAAGAUUGAUAUUGUUAUUAGUGUUCUUGUUUUGCUAAAUUUGUAUAUUGUUAUCAAGAAAUGAGAAGAUUGAUAGUGUUAUUAGUGUUCUUGUUUGCUAAAUUUUGUAUAUUGUUAUCAAGAAAUGAGAAGAUUGAUAGUGUUAUUAGUGUUCUUGUUUUGCUAAAUUUUGUUUAUUGUUUAUCAAGAAAUGAGAAGAUUGAUAGUGUUAUUAGUGUUCUUGUUUUGCUAAAUUUUAUAUUGUUAUCAAGAAAUAGAAGAUUGAUAGUGAUUAGUGUUUUUUUUGCUAAAUUUUGUAUAUUGUUAUCAAGAAAUGAGAAGAUUGAUAGUGUUAUUAGUGUUCUGUUUUUCUAAAUUUUAUAUUGUUAUCAAGAAAUGAGAAGAUUGAUAGUGUUAUUAGUUCUUGUUUUGCUAAAUUUUGUAUAUUGUUAUCAAGAAAUGAGAAGAUUGAUAGUUAUUAGUGUUCUUGUUUUGCUAAAUUUUGUAUAUUGUUAUCAAGAAAUGAGAAGAUUGAUAGUGUUAUUAGUGUUCUUUUUUCUAAAUUUUGUAUAUUUUAUCAGAAAAGAGAAGAUUGAUAGUGUUAUUAUGUUCUUGUUUUGUAAAUUGUAUAUUUUAUCAAGAAAUGAGAAGAUUGAUAGUGUUAUUAGUGUUCUUGUUUUCUAAAUUUGUAUAUUGUUAUCAAGAAAUGAGAAGAUUGAAUAUGUUAUUAGUUCUUGUUUGCAAAAUUUGUAUAUUGUUAUCAAGAAAUGAGAGAUUGAUAUGUUAUUAUGUUCUUUUUUGCAAAUUUGUAUAUUAACAAGAACAUGAGAAGAUUGAUAGUGUUAUUAGUGUUCUUGUUUUGCUAAAUUAUGUAUAUUGUUAUCAAGAAAUGAGAAGAUUGAUAUUGUUAUUAGUGUUCUUGUUUUGCUAAAUUUUAUAAAUUGUUAUCAAGAAAUGAGAAGAUUGAUAGUGUUAUUAGUGUUCUUGUUUAUGUAUAUUGUUAUCAAGAAAUAAGAAGAUUGAUAUUGUUAUUAGUGUUCUUGUUUUGCUAAAUUUUGUAUAUUGUUAUCAAGAAACGAGAAGAAUGAUUGUUUUAUUAGUCUUCUUGUUUUGCUAAAUUUUGUAUAUUGUUAUCAAGAAAUGAGAAGAUUAAUAGGGUUAUUAGUGCUCUUGUUUUGCAAAAUUUUGUAUAUUGUUAUCAAGAAAUGAGAAGAUUGAUAGUGUUAUUAGUGUUCUAGUUUUGCUAAAUUUUGUAUAUUUUUAUCAAGUAAUGAGAAGGUUGAUAGUGUUAUUAGUGUUCUUGUUUUGCUAAAUAUUGUAUAUUGUUAUCAAGAAAUGAGAAGAUUGAUAAUGUUAUUAGUGUUCUUGUUAUCAAGAAACGUUUGACGCUGACCCUUUAGCAAAAUCUCUCAAACAUGAAAGGCAUUGCCAUGGGGAAUUCUCCAUGGCUUCUAUUCAGUCAAAUAAGGAUAUGGAAUAUCACAACAAAGUCGAUGUAAGUCAUGAUGCACUGUUCGUUUGAAUUUAUGAUGGCUUCAAAGGCCACACCACAGCUUCCUAUAUUCGUACGCACAUUAUUAGGACUCUAUUACGUGAGUUAUUUCUUUGCUUCUUUUUUCUUAGCAUACUAAUAUGUAUAUUGUUAUCAAGAAAUGAGAAGAUUGAUAGUGUUAUUAGUGUUCUUGUUUUGCUAAAUUUUGUAUAAAGACCCGAAAUAUUAGAAGAACUCUGAUGAGGAUUCGAUUAGCUUUCUGUGGUUUAUGCUAAAAUUUUUUAUAUUGUUAUCCAAGAAAUGAAAAGAUUGAUAGUGUUAUUAAGUGUUCCUUGUUAUGAAAUUUUUAUAUUGGUUAUCAAAGAAUUGAGAAGAUUGAUAGUGUUAAUUUAUGUUGUUCUUGUUUGCCCUAAAAUUUGUAAUAAGUGUUAUCAAGAAAGGUAAGAUUGAUAGUGUUAAGUGUACUUUGCGUUUUGCGAAACUACUUGUAUGUCGUUGACUAUCCAGAAGUAAGUUGGGGAUAGAUAAAGAUUGAUAGUGCCCCUAUUAGUCGUUUUUGUUUUGCCUAAAUUUUGUAUAUUGUUAAACAAGAAAUGAGGAAAAGAUUGAUGAGAGCACACGCUAGUUUUUUAGUGAUUCUUGUUUUUGCUAAAUUUGUAUAUGGUUAAUCAAAUUGUAGAAGAUUGAUAGUGUUAUUAGUGUUCUUAGUUUUAGCUUAAAAUUUGGUACUAUUGUAUGAAGUAUAAUUGAGAAGAUGGGAUAGUGUAUAUUAGUUUUUCUUAGGGAGUUUUGCCCUAAAUUUUUUUAUGUAUUGCUUAAAACAAACACUUAGAAAUUCGAAUCUGUUAUUAGUUGUUCUUGUUUUGCUAAUUUUUUAUAUUAGUAUAUCACAGAAAUGGAAAAAGAUUGAUAGUGUUAUUAGUGUACUUCUUGUUAUGCUAAAUUUUGCUAUAAAUUGUUAUCAGAAAAUGAGAAGAUUGAUAGUGUUAUUAGUGUCUUGUUUUGCUAAUUUUGUAUAUUCUGUUAUCAAGAAAUGAGAAGAUUGAUAGUGUUAUUAGUGUUCUUGUUUUGUCUAAAUUUUGUAUAUUGUUAUCAAGAAAUGAGAAGAUUGAUAGUGUUAUUUAGUGUUCUUUUUUUUGCUAAAUUUUGUAUAUUGUUAUACAAGAAAUGAGAAGAUUGAUAGUUUAUUAGUGUUCUUGUUUGCUAAAUUUUGUAUAUGUUAUCAAGAAAAUGAGAAGAUGAUAGAUGUUAUUAUGUUCUUGUUUUGCUCUAAAUUUUGUAUAUUCUUAUCAAGAAAUGAGAAAUUGAUAGUGUUAUUAGGUGUUCUGUUUUGCUAAAUUUGUAUAUUUGUUAUCAAGAAAAUGAGGAGAUCAGUAGAGAUUGAGUGCUUAUUAAGUGUGUUGUUUUGCUAAAUUUUGUAUAUUAUUCCAAGAAAGGAGAAGAUGGAUAGUGUUAUUAGUGUUCUUGUUUGCUAAUUCUGUAUUUGUUAUGCAAGAACGAUGAAAGCAUUGAUAGUGUUAUUAGUGUUCUUUGCUAAAUUUUGUGAAUUGUUAUCAGAAAUGAGAAGAUGAUUGAUAGUAGUUAUUAGUGUUCUUGUUUGGCUAAAUUUUGUAUUAUUGUUAUCAAGAAAUGAGAAGUUGAUAGUGUUAUUAGUGUUCUUGUUUUGCUAAAUUUUGUAUAUUGUUAUAAGAAAUGGAGAAGUGAUAGUGUUAUUUAGUGUUCUUGUUUGCUAAUUUUUGUAAUUUAUAUCAAGAAAUGAGAAGACUUGAUAGUGUUUUAGUGUCUUGUUUGCUAAAUUUUGUAUAUUUUAUCAAGAAAUGAGAAGAUUGAUAGUGUUAUUAGUGUUCUUGUUUUGCUAAAUUUUGUAUAUUGUUAUCAAGAAUGAGAAGAUUGAUAGUGUUGUUAUUGUUCUUGUUUGCUAAAUUUUUGUUAUAUUUACAAGAAAAUGAGAAGAGAUGAUAGUGUAUAUUAGUAGUUCUAUUGUGUUUGGCUAAAUUUUGUGUAUAGAAUUUGUGUAAACAAAGAAUAUAGAAGAUUGAUAUAGUGUCUAUUAGUGUUCUUCUUGUUUUUGGCUAAUGUUGUAUAUGUUGCAAAAAGAAAGGAGAAGAUGAUAAGGUGUUAUUACGUGUUCUUUGUUUUUGCUAAAUUUGUAUAUUGUUUCAAGAAAUGAGAAGUUGAUAGCUGUGUAUUAGUGUUUUUGUUUUUGCUAAAUUUUUGUAUAUUGUUAUCAAACAGUGAGAAGAUUGAUAGUGUUAUUAGUGUUUCUUGUUUUUGCUAAAUUUGUUAUAUUGUUAUCAAGAACAUGAGAAGAUUGAAUAGUGUUUUAGUGUUCUUGUUUUGCUAAAUUUUGUAUAUUGUUAUCAAGAAAUGGAGAAGAUUGAUAGUGUUUAGUGGUUCCUUGUUUUGCUAAAUUUUUGUAUAUUGUUAUCAAGAAAUGAGAAGAUUGAUAGUGUUAUUAGUGUUCUUGUUUUGCUAAAUUUUGUAUAUUUGUAUCAAAAAAUGAGAAGAUAUUGAUAGUGAUUAUUAGAAGUGUUCUUGUUUUGGCUAAUAUUUUGUAUUGGAUUUAUCAAGAAAUGAGAAGAUUGAUAGUGUUAUUUAGUGUUUUGGUAUUGCUAAAUUUUGUAUAUUGUUUGUCAAGAAAUGAGAAGAUUGAUAAUGUGUAUUAGUGUGUCUUGUUAGUCUGGGCAGCAAUUUGUAUAUAUUGUUAUACAAAGAAAUGGCAGAGUUGAUGCUAGUUGAUUUAUUAGUGUUUCUUGUUUUGCUAAUUUUUGUAUAUUGGUUUGCAAGAAAGAUGAAGGAUUGAUAGUCUUAUUGUGUGUGCUUGGUUUUGCAGUAAAUGGCGUUAUACGCUUGCCUUUACAAGACCCUAAAAUGAAGAGGAGUCUGCAUAGUGGAUAGUUCUUCGUAUGGGCUUACUAUUGUAAGAAUGCAGCAAAUGAUUAGUGUUAUAGUUGUUGUUUAAAAUUUGUAUAGUGCUACCAAGAAAUGAAGAUAGAAACGCAUAGUUAGCUGUUCUUUUUGCAUUGUGUAUGAUUGGCUUAACGCCAAGCAUAUGCAAUCGACAGGAUUUUAAGUUAUAAGUGUUAUUUUAGUGUUUUGCAUCUUUUCGUAAAUUUUGUAUAUUGUUAUCAAGAAAUGAGAAGAUUGAUUAUGUUAUUAGUGUUCUUGUUUGCUAAAUUUUUGUAUAUUUGUUUACAAGAAAUGAGAGAUUGAUAGUGUUAUUAGAUGUUCUUGUUUUGCUAAAUUUUGUAUAUUGUUAUGCAAGAAUAGAAAGAUUGAAGUCUGUUAUUAGUGUCUUGUUUUGUCCUAAAUUUGUAUAUUGUUAUCAAGAAAUGAGAAGUCUGAUAGUGUUAUUAGUGUCUUCGUUUUCCCUAAAUUUGUAUAUUGUUAUCAGAAUGAGAGAUUGAUAGGUUAUUAGUGUUCUUGAUUUUGCUAAAUUUUGUAUAUGGGUUAUCAAGAAAUGAAGAUUUGAUUAGUGUUUAUUAGUUUCUUGUUUUGCUAAUUUGUAUAUUGUUAUCAAGAAUGAGAAGAUUGAAUAGUGUUAUUAGUGUUCCUUGUUUUGCUAAAUUUGUUAUAUUGUUAUCAAGAAAUAGAAGAAGAUUGAUAGUGUUUAUUAGUGUUUUUUGUUGCUAAAUGUUUGUAUAUUGUUAUCAAAAAUGAGAAGAAUUGAUGAGUUUUAGUGUUCUGUUUUGCUAAAUUUUGAUAUUGUAUAUCAAGAUAUGAGAAGAUUGAUAGUGUUAUUAGUCGCAUUUUGUCUUUGCCAUAAAUUUUGUAUAUUUUUCGACUCUUUUGGAUUACUAGUGAGUUAUUUGCUUUUCUUUUUUCUGGCAUAAUAAUUUGUGUAUUUGUUAUGUCAGAAAUGAGAAGCUGAAUAGUGAUUAUUAGUGUUCUUGUUUUGCCCCUAAAUUUUUGUAUAAUUGUUAUCAAGAAACUGAGAAGAUUGAUAGUGUUUGAUUAGUGUUCUUUUUUGUUGUCUAAUUUUGUAUAUUGUUAUCAAAGAAAUGAGAAGAUUGAUAUGUGUUAUUAAGUGUUUCUUGUUUUGCUAAAUUUUGUAUUUGUUAUCAAGAAAUGUAUUAAGAUUGAUAUAUGUUAAUUCAGUGUUCUUAGUUAGCACUUAAAUUUUGAUAUAAUGUAUAUCAAGAUAAUAUGAGAUAGAUAGUGUUAUUUAGUGUUCUGUUUAGGGCUUAAAUUUUUGUAUAUUGUUAUUAAGUAAAUGGAGGAAGAUCGAUUUGUGUAUUAUUAUGAUUCUUGUUUAUUGCUAAUUUUGUCAAUUGUAUGCCAGGAAAGGAAGAAGAUGAUAGUGUUAUUGUGUCCUGUUUGCUUCACUUGUGUAAUAUUGUUUCGCUCCAGAAUGAGAAGAUUGAUAGUGUUUAUAGUGUUCUUUUAUGUUUUCUAACAUUUGUAUAUUGUUUUUCAAGAAAUGAGAAGAUGAUGAUAGUGUUUAUUAGCUGUUCUUGGGUUUUGCUAAUAUUUUGUAUAGGCUUGUAUCAAAAGAGACUUGUUUCGACAAGAUAUAAUCAGUGUUUUUUUUAUUUUGUGUUCUUGUUUUGCUAAAUUUUGUAUACUUGUUAUCAAAGAAAUGAGAAGUGAAGAUGUUAAUUAGUGUUCUUGUUUUACUAAUUUAUUGUAUAUUUGUUAUCAAGAUAAUGAGAAGAUUGAUAGUUGUUAUUUAGUGUUUCUUGUUUUGCUAAAUUUUGUAUAUUGUUAUCAAGAGAAUGCAGAAAAGAUUGAUAGUGUUAUUAGUGUUCUUGUUUUGCCUAAAAAUUAAUUGUUUAUCAAGAAAUGAGAAGAAUUGAUAGUGUUAUUAGUGUUCUGUUUGCUAAAUUUGUAAUAUUGUUACAGAAAUGCGAAGAUUGAUAGUGUUAUUUAGUGUUCUUGUUUUGCUAAAUUUUGUAUGAUUAUAUCAAGAAAUGAGAAGGUUGAUAGUGUUAUUAGUGUUCUUGUUUUGCUUAAUUUUGUUAUAUUGUUAUUCAAGAAAUGAGAAGAUGAUAGUGUUAUUAGUGUGUUUCUUGUUACAAGAAACUUUGAACGCUGACCCUUUAAAAAUUCUCUCAAAAAAUGAAAAGGCAUUGCCAUGGGGAAUUCUCCAUGGCUUCUGUUCAGUCAAAUAAGGAUAUGGAAGAUCACAACAGGAAAUGUAAGUUCAUGACGCACUGUUUUUUAGAAUUAUGAUGGUUCAAAGGCCACACACUCGCUUCCUAUAUAUCCGUAACGCACAUCUUUAGGAUCUUAUUACGUGAAUUAUUUUUUUGCCUUCUUUUUUCUUAGCAUCUUACCUGUAAUUCUAUAUAUAUGACAUGCCUGAAAGGAUUGAAGGUGUUAUUAGGUUCUUGUUUUCUAAAUUUUGUAUAUUGUGUUUAUCAAGAAAUGAGAAGAUUGAUAGGUGGUUAUUAGUGUUCUUUGUUUUGCUAAAUUUUGUAUAUUGUUUAAUCAGAAAUGAGAAGAUCGAUAGUGUUAUUAAGUGUUUUUGUUUUGCUAAAUUUUGUUAUAUUGCUUAUCAAGAAAUAGAAGAUGAUAGUUUUUAUUAGUGUUCUUGUUUUGCUAAAUUUUUUUAUAUUGUUUCAAGAAAUGAAGAUGAUUGAUAGUGUUAUUAGUGUUCUUGUUUGCUAAAUUUUGUAUAUUGUUUUAUCAAGAAAUGAGAAGAUUUGAUAGUGUAUUAGUGUUCUUGUUUGCUAAAUUAUGUAUAUUGUUAUCAAGAAAUAGAAGAUUGAUAUGUUAUAGUGUUCUUGUUUUGCUAAUAUUUUGUAUAUUGUUAUCAAGAAAUGAGAAGAUUGAUAGUUUAUAUAAGUGUUUUUUGUUUUGCUAAAUUUGUAUAUUGUUACAUAGAAAUGAGAAGAUUGAUAGUGUUAUUUAGUGUUCUUGUUUUGCUAAAUUUUUGUAUAUUGUUAUCAAGAAAUGAGAAGAUGAUAGUGUUAUAGUGUUCUUGUUUUGCUAAAUUUUGUAUAUUUUAUCAAGAAAUGAGAAGAUUGAAGUGUUAUUAGUGUUCUUGUUUUGGCUAAAAUUUUGUAUAUUGUUUACUCAAGAAAUGAGAAGAUAUGAUUGUGUUAUUAGUUCUUGUUUUGCUAUUUUGUUAUUAUUAUCAAGAAAGGUAGAGAUUGAUAGUUGUAUUAGUUUCUUGUUUUGCUAAAUUGUGUAUAUUGUUAUCAAGAAAUGAGAAGAUUGAUAGGUUAUUGUGUUCUUGUUUGCUAAAUUUUGUAAUUGUUAUCGAAGAAAUGAUAGAGAAGAUUGAUAGUGUUAUUAGUGUUCUUUUUUGCAAUUUUGUAUUAUGUUAUCAAGAAAUGAGAGAUUGAUAGUGUUAUUAGUGUUCUUGUUUGCUAAAUUUUGUAUAUUGUUAUCAAGAAAUAGAAGGUGUAGUGUUAUUUAGUGUUCUUGUUUUGCUAAUUUUGUAUAUUUUAUCAAGAAAUGAGAAGAUUGAUAGUGUUAUUAUAAGUUCUUGUUUUGCUAAAUUUUAGUAUAUAUUUUAUCAGAAAUGAGAAGAUUGAUAGUGUAUAUUAGUGUUCUUGUUUUCUAAAUUUAUGAUUAUAUUGUUUCAAGAAUUGAGAAGAUUGAUAUGUAUUAGUGUUCUUGUUUGCUAAAUUUUGUAUAUGUUAUCAAGAAAUGAGAAGAUUGAUAGUGUUAUUAGUGUUCUUGUUUUGCUAAAUUUGUAUAUGUUUCAAGAAAUGAGAAGAUUGAUAAUGUUAUUAGUUGUUCUGUUUUCUAAAUUUUUGUAUAUUUUAUCAAGAAAUAGAGAUUGAUAGUGUUUUGUUGUUCUUGUUUUGCUAAAUUUUGUAUAUUGUUAUCAGAAUGAGAAGAUUGAUAGUGUUAUUAGUGUUCUUGUUUUGCUAAAUUUGUAUUAUUGUUAUCAAGAAAUGAGAAGAUUGAUAGUGUUAUUAGUGUUCUUGUUUUGCUAAAUUUUGUAUAUUGUUAUCAAGAAUGAGAGAUGAUAGUAUGUUAUUAGUGUUCUUGUUUGCUAAAUUUUUGUAUAUUUUUAUCAAGAAAUGAGAAGAUUGAUAGUGUUAUUAGUGUUCUUGUUUUGCUAAUUUUUGUAUAUUGUUCAGAAAUGAGAAGAUUGAUAGUGUUAUUAGUGUUCUUGUUUUGCUAAAUUUUGUAUUGUUAUCAAGAAAUGAGAAGAUUGAUAGUUGUUUUUAGUGUUCUUGUUUGCUAAAUUUGUAUAUUGUUUCAGAAAUGAGAAGAUUGAUAGUGUUAUUAGUGUUUUGUUUUGCUAAAAUUUUGUAUAUUGUUAUCAAGAAAUGAGAAGAUUGAUAUGUAAUUAGUGUCUUGUUUGCUAAAUUUUGUAUAUUCGUUAUCGAAAAUGAGAAGAUUGAUAGUGUUAUUAGUGUUUCUUGUUUUGCUAAAUUUUGUAUAUUGUUAUCAAGAAUGAGAAGAUUGAUAGUGUUAUUAGUGUUCUUGUUUGCUAAAUUUUGUAUAUUGUUUAUCAAGAAAUGAGAAGAUUGAUAGUGUUAUUAGUGUUCUUGUUUGCUAAAUUUUGUAUAUUUUUUCAAGAAAUGAGAAGAUUGAUAGUGUUAUUAGUGUUCUUGUUUGUAAUUUUGUAUAUUGUUACAAAGAAAUGAGAAGAUUGAUAGUGUUAUUAGUGUUUCUUGUUUUGCUAAAUUUUGUAUAUUGUUUAAGAAAUGAGAAGAUUGAUAGUGUUAUUAGUGUUCUUGUUUUGCUAAAUUUUGUAUAUGUUAUCAAGAAAUAGAAGAAGGAUAGUGUUUAUUACGUGUUCUUGGUUUAGUAAACUUUGUGUAUAUUCUGGUUAUUAGAAAUGAAAGAUGAUUGUGUGUAUUAGUGUUCUUGGUUUUGCUAUUUGUAUAUAUGUUGGCAAGAAAGUGAGAAGAUCGAUAGGUGCUUAUUAAGUCGUUUCUUGUUUUCUAAUUUGAUAUUAGUUCUCAAGAAAAUGCAAAGAUUGAUUAGUUGUAGUUAUGUCUUCUGUUUUGCCACUAAAUUUUGUAUAUUGUUAUCAAGAAAUGAGAAGAUUGAAUAGUGUUAUUAGUGUUUGUUUCUGCUAGAUUUUCUGGUAUAUGUGUUUAUCAAGAAAUGAGAAAGAUUGAUAGUGUUAUUAGUGUUCUUGUUUUGCUUAAAUUUUGUAUAUUGUUAUCAAGAAAUGAGAAGAUUGAUAUGUGUUAUUAGUUCUUCUGUUUGCUAAAUUUUGUAUAUGUUAUCAAGAAUGAAGAUAGAUAGUGUUAUUAGUGUUCUUGUUUGCUAAAUUUGUAUAUUGUUAUCAAGAAAUGAGAAAUUAGAUUGUGUUAUUAAGUGUUUUGGUUUGUUUGCCUAAUUUUGAUAUUGUUUAUCCAAGAAAGAGAAGAUUGAUAGUGUUAUUAGUGUUCUUGUUUUGGCUAAAUUGUUGUAUAUUGCUUUGCAAGAAAUGCAAAGAGUUGAUAGUGUGUCAUUACUGUUUUUGUUUUGCUAAAUUUGUACAUAUUGUUUUCAAGAAAAUGAGAAGAUCUGAUAUGUUAUUAGUGUGUUGCUUGUUUGCUAAUUUUGUAUAUUUGUUAUCAAAAAAAUAGAGAAUUGAUAGUGGUUUAUUAGUGUUCUGUUUUGCUAAAUUUUGUAUAUUUGGUUAUAAGAAAUAGAGGAAAAAGGUUCGAUAGUGUUAUUAGUGUUCUGUUUUGCUAAAUUUUGUAUAUUCUUAUCCAAGAAAUAGAGAAGAUUGAAUAAUGUUAUAGUGUUCUUAGUUUUCUAAUUUUGGUAUAUUUUUGGGUUUUUAUCAAGCACCCAAAUGCCGAAGAUUGAAUCAGUGUUAUUAGUGUUUUGGUUUAUGCUAAAUUUUUGUAUAAUUGGUCUGAUCCAAAGAAACAUGAGAAGAUGAUAAUGUUAUUUUAGUGGUUUACUUGCUUAUCGGCUAAAUUUUGUAAUUGUUAUCAGAAAUUAGAAGAUUGAAUUAGUGUUAGUUAGUUGUUAUUAGUUUUUGGCUAAAAAUUUAUUGGUUAUAUUGGGUUAAUCAAAGAAUAAUGAGAAGAAGAGGUCCGAGUAGUUGAUGUAGCUAGUAGUUAGUCUUGUUUAUGCUAGAAAUAAUUUGUAUCUUGUUAUCUAAGAAAGAUUAGAAGAAUGGAAUAGUGUUAUAGGUGUUCUUAGGUUUGACUAAUGUGUAUACUUUUUGUGUCAAGAAGACGAAAGGAAGAAUGAUAGUGUUAUUGUAGUGUUUUUAUUUUGCUAAACUUAUUGCUAUAAUUCGUUAUCACAAUAAUGAGAAAGAAUGGGAUUAAGUAGGUUAUUGAGUGUUCUUCUGUUUUGCUAUCAAUUUUGUAAUAGUUGUUAUCAAAGAAAAUGAGAAGAUUAGUGUCUUCGUUAAUAUAUGUUUAUUGCAGUUUUGCUACCAUUUGUAUGAUUUUGAUUCAAGAAAUGAGAAGAAAAUCUGAAUAAUUGUUGAAAUUGAGUGUUCUUUCUUGUUAAUGCUAAAUUUUGUAAUAUAGUCUAGUCAAGAAAAUAUGAAGAUAGAUAGUGGUUAUAGUUGUUGCUGUUUAGCUAAAUUUUGUAUAUUGUUAUCAGAAAUGGAGAAGAGUCGAUUGUGUUAUAAGUGUUCUUGUUUUGCUAAUUUGGAAUAUAUUUUUGGUUUGCCCAAGUAAAGGAGAAAGAUGGAUAGGUGGUUAUUGUAUGUUCUUGUUUUGCUAAAUUGUGUUAUUGGUUGUCAGAAAAUGAAAAAGAUUGCGAGAUAGUGUUAUUAGUGUUUUUGCUUUUGCUAGAUUUGAGUAUUAAUUGUUUCUAAUGCUGAAAUGAGAAGUUUGCACAUUGAAUAGUGUUAUUCAGAUGUUCGUAUUGCUAACAUUUUUAAUAUUGUUAUACGAAAGAACAUGAAGAAUAGUUGAUAGUGUGUUUUAUGCUGCUUAGGUUGUUGUCUAGUUUUGUAAUAUUGUUUACUCAGAAUGAGAAGGUGCAAGUUGUAAUUAUGUUGCUUGUUUGCUAAAUUUUGUAUAUUGCAUUAUCAGAAGAAAAUGAGAAGAUUGAUAGUGUUAUUAGUGUUCUGGUUUUCUAAUUAUGUGUAUAUCUAGUUAGAAGGAAAGAAUAGAUUGAUAGGUUGUUAAUUAGUGGCUUCUUGUUUUGACGUAAAUUUUAGGGGAUAUUUGUUGUCAAAGAAAUGUAAGAAGAUGGAUAGAUGUUAUGUAGUGGUUCUUGUUACUGCUAAAUGAUGUUGUAUAUAGUUGUAUCCAAAGAAAAUGAGAGAGAUUGACUAGUGUUAUUUGAGUGUGUCUUGUUUUGCCUAAAUUUUUGUAUAAUGUAGUUAUGGAAGAAAUGGAGAAAGGUCGAUAGUGUUCAUUAGUGUUCGUUAGUUUGCCUAAGAUUUUAUAUAUUAGGUAUCAAAAGAAAUCGAGAAGAUUGAUAGUGCUUAAUUAGAUGUUCUGUGUUAUAUGCUGCCUAAAUUGUGUUAUUUUUGUCAUAAGAAACUGAGAAGAUUGAUAGUGGUUAUAUUGAGGGUGUUGUUUAAGUAUUGCUAAAUUUGUAUAUGUGUUAUGCAAGAAAUGAGACAGAUUAGAUAGUGCUUUGUUAGUGUUCUUGUUUUGCCCUAUACUUUGUUGGGUAUAUGUGUCUUAGUCAAAGAUAAUGAGAAGAUUGAUAGUGUUUUUUACUCGUUGUCUGUCUGAUUUGGCCCGCCUAUACUUUUGUAUAAUUCUUAUCAGAAAUAUGAGAAGAUUGAAUAGGUGUUAUUAGUGUUCUGUGUUUUGGCCGUAUAUUUUGUAUAUUCUUAAUCAACGAAAUGAGCAUAGAUUGAUGUAGUUUUUAGUGUUCUAUGGUUUUUGCCCCUAAAUUUUGUAUAUGUUGAUACAAGAAAUGAGAAGAUUGUAUAGUUAUUAGUGUUCCUAUGUUUUAUGCCUAAUUUUUGUAUUAGUUAUCAAGAAAUAUGAAGAUAGAUAGUGUUAUUAGUGUUCUUGGUUUAGACUAAUUUGUAAUAUUGUUAAUAAGAAAUGAGAAGAUAUUCCGAUUGUUUAUUAGUGUUCUUGUUUUGCCUAAUCUGUUGCAGAUAUUGGUUGUGCUCGAAUAUGGUGGCAAGACAAGGAGAAGAUGAUCGGUUUAUUAGUGUUCUUGUUUUUGCUAAAGUGUGUAUAUUUGGAUGUCCAAGUAAAUGACGAAGAUUAUAGUCGUUAUUAAAGUGUAUUUGUUUUGCAUAAAUGUUGUAAAUAUUGUAUCAAGACAGUGGAGAAGAUUGGAUAUGUGUUAUUAGUGUUACUUCGUGUUUUUCUAUACAGAUUUUGUAUAUGUGUGUAUCAAGAAUGACAAAAUUAGAUAGUGUUUUCUAGUAUUGUUCUUGUUUUACUGAGCCCUAAAUUUUGUAUAAUUGUUCAGUAGAAAUAGAAGGUCGAUAGGUCGUUAUUAGUGAUUCUUGUUUUUCGGCUGAUAGAAAUGUUGUAUAUUCUUAUCGAAGAAAUGAGAAGAUGAUAGUGUUAUUGUGUUCUUGGUUUGGCUAAUUUGUAAUAUUGUUGUAUGCAAGUACCAUGAGAAAGGAUUGAAUAGUCGUUAUUAGUGUCCUCUUAGUCUUUGGCUAAAUUUUUGUAUACUUGCUGUCCAAGAAUGAAGAAGAUUGAUAAUAUUAUUAGUCGUUCUUGGUAUGCUAAUAAAUUUUGUAUAUUGUUAUGCAAAGAAAAUGAGGAUGAUUCGAUAUGCGUUAUUAGUGUUUCUGUUUUGCCUAUAAUUUUGUAUAUGUUAUCAAAGAAAGAUGAGUAAGAGCGUCGAGUAUGUAGCUGAUUAGGUUCUUGGUUUUUGCUAAAAUUUUGGUAAUAUUGUUAUCAAGAAAUGAGAAGAGUUGAUAGUGUUAUUAGUGGUUUAAUUGUUUUGCCUAAUAAGGUUGUGUGAUGAUUUUUGUCAAAGAAAUGAGAAGAUUGGAUAAGUGUUAUUAGUGCUUUUUAUUUUUGCUAAAAUUUUGUAUAUUGUUAUCGGUAAGAAAGGAAGAAGCGGAUUGGGAUAGUGUGUUUUUAGUGGUUCUUUUGUUUUGCUAAAUUGUAUGAUUGUUAUCAAGAAAUGAAGAAGUAUUGAUAGGUUGUAUCAUUAGUGUUCUUGUUUUGGCUAUUUUGUAUAUGUUAUCAAAGAAUGAGAAGAUUGAUAUUGUUAUAUAGUGUUCUUUGUUUUGCUAUAUUUUGUAAUAUUGUUAUCAAGAAAUGAGGAGAUGAUGUGCUAUGAUGUUUUGCUAAAUUUGUAUCAUUGUUAUCAGAAGGAGGAUUGUAGUAAGUUAACUUAGCUGUCUUCAUUUGUGCUAAAUAAGUUGUUAAUCAAGAUAGUGCAGAAGAUUGGAUACGUGUUUUUAGUGUUCUUGUUCUUGCUAUUUUGUAUAUUGUUUCGAAAGGAUGAGAAGAUCGUAGUGUUAUUAGUGUUCUAUGUUUGCCUAUAAUUUUGUUAUUUGUUAUCAAGAAUGAGAAGAUUGAUAGGUAGUGAUUCUUGUUUUCUAAUUUUAGUUAUUGUUCUCAAGAAAUGAGUUGAGGGUUAUGCUUCGUUUGACUAAUUUUGUAUAUGUUAAGAAAAGUGAGAAGGAUUGACUAAUGUUAGUUGAGUUGUUUUGAUUUUGCUAAAUUUGUAGAUGUUAUCAAUAACGAUGAGAAGAGCACUUGAUAGGUAGGUUAUUAUUAGUGUUCUGUCGUUUCGAACUAUAAUUUAUUGUAUAAUUGUUAUCAAGAAAAUGAGAAGAUUAGAAUAGUGUUAAUGAAAAAGUUUGUCGUUUUGGCUAAUUUUGUAUUUCUUAUCAAGAAAUGAGAAGAUUGAUAGUGUGUAUUAGUGUUCUUUUUGACUAAUGUUUGUUAAUUGCUUAUCAAGAAAUGAGAAGAUUGAUAGUGUUAUUAGUGUUCUUGUUUUUGGCUCUAAAUUUUUGAGUAUAUUGUGAUCAAGAAUGAGAUAGUUGUAUGUUAUUAUGUUCUUGUUUAUGCUAAGUUUUGUAUAUUAGUUAUUUCAAGAAUGAUGAAGAUUGAUAGUGUAUUAGUCGUUCCUCUGUAUUGCUAAAAUUAUUGUAUAUUGUAUCAAGAAAUGAGAAGAUUCGAUUGGUGUGUAUUAGUGUUCUUGGUUUUGCUAAGUUUUUGUAUAUUGUUACAAGAAAAGGAGAAGAUGUGAUAGUGUUAUUGUGUUCAUUGUUUUGCCUAAAUUGUGUAUAUUGUUUUCAAGACAAUGAGCAAGAUGAUAUUAUUUCAUUGAGUUGCUUAUUUUAUAUGCUUUCGAAUGAGAAAUUAUGUGGUAUUAGUUUCGUUAUCAAGAAAUGACUAGACUAGGAAAUUUUCAAAGUGAACAUGGCUAUUAGUGUUCUGUUGGCUAUUAUUGUAAUAAGGAAUGUAGUAUCAAACAGCGAAAUAUGAGACAGUAUUGAAUGUUUUGAUGGCUUUUAGCACGGAUCUUUUCGUACUGCACUAAAUUUUGUCAGUUCGUUUAGUUAUCUGUUUCAAUUAGCGAGUGUAUUCCGAAUUUUAUCAGGAUGAAUGAUAGUGUAUUAGUGAUCUUGUUUUGGCUAAAUUUUGUGUAUAUUGUAUCAAUGAAUGAAAGGAUUGAUAGGGUUUAUGUGAGUCUGUUCUUGUUUUGCCUAAUACUAUGUAUAUUGUUAUCAAGAAAAUGAGAAGAUUGAUAGAUGUUAUUAGUGUUCUGUUUUGCUAAAUUUGUAUAUUGUUAUCAAGAAAUGAGAGGAUUGGAUUGUUGAUUAGUGUUCUUGUUGAUGCCUAAAAUUUUUGUAUAUUGUUAUACAAGAAAUGAGAAGAUUGAUAGUGUGAAUUAGUGUUUGCUCUGGUUUUGCUAAAUUUUGUAUAUUGUUAUCAAGAAGAUGAGAAGAUGUGAUAGGGUUUAUUAGUGUUCUUGUUUUGCCUAAAUUUUGAUUAGGUCACUUGUUAUCAAAAUAGAACAUGAGUAAGAUUGAUAGUUGAUGAUUAGUGUUCACGUGGGGUUUGUGCGUAAAUUGAUGGUAAUUUUUUGUUCAUAGAAAUGAGAAUGAUUGAUGUGUUUAUUAAGUGUUUUAUUUUUGACUAAAUUUAUGGUAGAUAUAUGUUUAUUCGAAGAAAUGUGGAGAGAUUGAUAGUGUUUUUAGGUGUUCCUGUUUUGCUAUAGUUUUUGUAUAUUGUUAUCAAGAAAAUAGAAGAUUGAUAGUGUUAUUAGUGUUCUUGUUGUUGCUUUAUUCUUGUAUAUUCUUAUCAAGAAAUGAGAAGAAUUGAUAUGUUUAUUAGUGUUCUUCGUUUUGCUAUAUUUUUGUAAUAUUCUAUAUCAAGAAAUGAGAAAAGAUUGAUAGUGUUAUAGUGUUCUUGUUUUGCCUAAAUUUUGUAUAGUUGGUUGUCAAGAAAUGAGCAAGAGUUGAUAAUGUUUAUCGUGGGGGUACCGUUUUGGAGUUCAUGGUGAGGUCUGGAAGGAGCGACUAAGGGCACCCGAUGUCAGAACACUAACAAGUGGCGUGAUAGGGUGUUUACUUAAAGGCAGAUCGCGUGGAAGACUAGAAUGUGGCGUGUCAUGCAGCAUUGGUGCUUGGUAUAACUAGUAGCCAGCUCAGUAUAUAAAGAAUUUUUGUGUGAGUAUAGCUAUGUAUACCUCCGGAGGAAGAGGAAAAGGAAGGAAUGUUGUGGAUCGAGAGUUCUAUGUUGGUAUAAGGUUGAGUGUUUCCUUGUUUUGCUCAGAUUUUGCGUAUAGUAGUUUAACCCUCCCGCCGGCACGUAAGUUGAAGAGAGAAGGAUGGGACUGAUGUGUAUCGGUAGUGUGUACUUUGAUUUUGAGGCUAAACUUGAGUGUAUACGGUUAGUUAUUUGUGUCGAAAAGAGGCGAGAGGAUCGGAAUGUUGGUGUUCAUUAGUCGUUUUUUCUGGUAUUUUGCAGAUUUGUAUAUUGUUAUCAAAGAAUGAGAAGAUUGAUAAGUGUUAUAGUGUUCUGUUUGCUAAAUUUUUGUAUAUUGUUAUCAAGAAAAUGAGACGAUGUAGUGUUAUUUAGUGUUCUUGUUUUUGCUACACAUUUUGUAUAUUGUUAUUCAAAAUGAGAAGUGUGAUAGUGUUACUAGUGUUCUUGUUUUGCAAUUUUGUAUAUUUUAUCCAAGAUAAUGAGAAAGAUGAUAGUGUUAUGUUUAUUAGUGUUCUGUGUUUGCUAAUAUUUUGUAUAAUUGUGUUAUCCAAGAAUGAGAAAGAUUGAUAGUGUUAUUAGUGUUUUUUGUUUUUGCUACAAAUUUGUAUAUUGUUUAGAGAAAUGAGAAGAUUUUGAUAAAGUCUUAUUAAGUGUUCUUGUUAUGCUAAAUGCUUUGGCUGAUAUUGUUAUCAAGAAAUGAGAAGAUUGUAGUGUUUUAGUGUUCUUGUUUUGCUAAAUUUUGUUAUUAGUAUCAAGAAAUGAAGAAGUGAUAGUGUUAUUAGUGUUCGCUUGUAUUUUGCUAAUUGUUGUAAGUAUUGUUAUCAAGAAAUGAGAAGAUUGAUAGUGUUAUUAGUGUUUCUUGUUUUGCUAAAUUUUGUAUAUUGUUUCAAGAAAUGAGAAGGCGAUAGUGUUAUUAGUGUUCUUGUUUGCUAUAUUUUGUAUAUUAUCUUAUUCCAAGAAAUCGAGAAGAUUGAUAGUGUUAUUAGUGUUCUUGUUUUGCAUAAUAUUUGUAUAAUUGUUAUCAAGAAAUGAGAAGAUUGAUAGUGUUUAUUAGUGUUCUUGUUUUGCUAAAGUUUGUAUAUUGUUAUCAAGAAAUGAGAAGUUGAUAGUUUCUAUAGUGUUCUUGUUUUGCAAAUUUUGUAUUUUUAUCAAAAUGUAGAAGAUUGAUGAGUGUUUCUUAAGUGUUCUUGUUUUGCUAAAAUUUGUAAUUUGUUUCAAGGAAAUGAGAAGAUUGAUAGUGUUAUUAUGUGUUUUUGUUUUGCUAAAUUUUGUAUAUUGGUUAUCAAAGAAAUGUGAGAAGAAUUGGAUUGAGUGUUAUUAGUGUUCUUGUUUUUGCUCGAAAUUUUAUGUAAUUCGUUAUACCGAGAAGAGAAAUGAGAAGAUCUGGAUAAGUGGUUAUUUAGUGGUUCCCUUGUUUUGCUGAAAUUUUGUAUAUUGUUUAUCACUCGAGCAAGAAAUGAGAAGAUUGAUAUGUUAUUAGGUGUUUUCUUUGUUUUGGACUGUAAAUUUUGUAUAUUGCUAUCUCAAAAUAGAGAAGAUCGAAUAGUGUUAUUAGGGUUCUUGUUUUGCUAAAUUCUUGUCAUUGUUAUCCAAGAAUAUAGAGUUAUGUGUAAGUUGAUAUCAGUUUAUCAAGAAAUAGGAGAUUGAUAGUGUUAUUAGUGUUCUUGUUUUGCUAAAUUUUGUAUAUUGUUAUCAAGAAAUGAGAGAUUGAUAGUGUUUAGUGUCUUUUUUGUAAAUUUUGUAUAUUGUUAUCAAGAAAUGAGAAGAUUGAUAGUGUAAUUAAGUGUUCUUGUUUUGUUAAAUUUUUGGUAUAUGUUAUCAAGAAAUAGAAGAUGAUAGUGGUUAUUAGUGUUCUUUUGCUAAAUUUUGUAUAUUGUUAUAAGAAAUGAGAAUGAUGUGUUAUUAGUGUUCUUUGUUUUGCUAAAUUUUGUAUAUUGUUUCAAGAAAGGAGAAGAUGGAUAGUGUUAUUAGUGUUCUUGUUUUGCUAAAUUUGUAUAUUGUUACAAGAAAUGAGAAGAUUGAUAGUGUUAUUAGUGUUUUGUUUUGCUAAAUUUUGUAUAUUGUUAUCAAGAAAUGAGAAGAUUGAUAGUGUUUAUUAGUGUUCUUGUUUUGCUAAAUUUUGUAUAUUGUUAUUCAAGAAAUGAGAAGAUUGAUAGUGUUUUAGUGUUCUUGUUUUGCUGAAAUUUUGUAUAUUGUUUCAAGAAAUGGAAGAGGUGAUAGUGUUAUUGUGUUCUUGUUUUGCUAAAUUUUUAUAUUCUUAUCAAGAAAUGAGAAGAUUGGAUAGUGUUAUUAGUGUUCUUGUUUUGCUAAUUUUGUAUAUUGUUAUCAAGAAAUGAGAGAUUGAUAGUGUUAUUAGUGUUUUGUUUGCUAAAAUUUUGUAUAUUGUUUCAAGAAAUGAAGAUGAUAGUGUUAUUAGUGUUCUUGUGUUUGCUAAAUUGUAUAUUGUAUCAAGAAUGAGAAGAUUGAUAGGUUUUUAGUGUUCUUGUUUUGCAUAAAUUUGUAUAUUUGUUAUCAAGAAUGAGAAGAUUGAUAGUGUUAUUAGUGUUUUGUUUUGCUAAAUUUUGUAUAUUGUUACAAGAAAUGAGAAGAUUGAUUGAUUAUUAGUGUUUGUUUUGCUAAAUUUUUGUAUAUUUUAUCAAGAAAUGAGAAGAUUGAUAGUGUUAUUAGUGUUCUUGUUUUGCUAAAUUUUGUAUAUUGUUAUCAAGAAAUGAGAGAUUGAUAGUGUUAUUUAGUGUUCUUGUUUUGCUAAAUUUUGUAUAUUGUUAUCAAGAAAUGAGAAGUGAUAGUGUUAUUAGUGUUCUUGUUUUGCUAAAUUUUGUAUAUUGUUAUCAAGAAAUAGAAGAUUGAUAGUGUUAUUAGUGUUUUGUUUUGCUUUCAUUUGUAUAUUGUUAUCAGAGAAUAUGAAGAUGAUAGUGGUUAUUAGUGUUCUUGUUUGCUAAUUUUGUAUAUUGUUAUAAAGAAAUGAGAAGAUGAUUGUUGUUAUUAUGUCUUGUUUUGGCUAAAUUUUGUAUUAUUGUUCAAAGAAAGGAGAAGAUGAUAGUGGUUAUAGUGUUCUUGUUUUGCUAAAUUUAGUAUAUUGUUAUCAAGAAAGAGAAGAUUGAUAGUUUAUAUAGUGUUUUUGUUUUGCUAAAUUUUGUAUAUUGUUAUCAAGAAAUGAGAAGAUUGAUAGUGUUAUUAGUGUUCUUGUUUUGCUAAAUUUUGUAUAUUGUUAUCAAAAUGAGAAGAUUGAUAGUGUUUUAGUGUUCUUGUUUUGCUAAAUUUUGUAUAUUGUUAUCAAGAAAUGAGAAGUGAUAGUGUUAUUAGUGUUCUUUUUUGCUAAAUUUUUAUAUUUUAUCAAGAAAUGAGAAGAUUGAUAGUGUUAUUUAGUGUUCUUGUUUUGCUAAUUUUGUAUAUUGUUAUCAAGAAAUGAGAAGAUUGAUAGUGUUAUUAGUGUUUGUUUUGCUAAAUUUUGUAUAUUGUUUCAAAGAAAUGAGAAGAUUGAUAUGUUAUUAGUGUUCUUGUUUGCAAAUUUUAGUAUAUUGUUAUCAAGAAAUUAGAAGAUUGAUAGUGUUAUUAGUGUUCUUGUUUUUGCUAAAGUUUUGUAUAUUGUUAUCAAGGAAUGCGAGAAGCAUCGAUAGUGUUUAUUAGUGUUUGCUUGUUUUCUAAAUUUUGUAUAUUGUUUAUCCCAAGGAAAUGACGGAAAGCUCGAUAGUGUAUUAAGUGUUCUUGUUUUGCUGUUAUUUGUAUAGGUUCCUUAUCAACUGAAUGAGAAGAUUAGAUAGUGGUUAUUAGAGUGUUCUUGUCUUCUGACUAUUUUUGGUAUAUUGUUAUCAAUAGAAAUGAGAAGCUUGGAUAAGAUGUAUUAAUAGUGUCUGUUUGCGCUAUAUUUUGUAUAUUUGCUUAUCUAAAGAAUGAAGAAGAUUGUAGUGUGUAGUUAGUAGUUCUUUGUUUUGCUAACACUUUUGUAUCAGUUGCUUUAUCGAAGUAAAUGAGAAGAUAUUAAUAGUCGUUUUUAGUGUUCUUGUAUUUUGCUAAAUGGUGUAUAUUGUUGUCAGUGAAUGCGAGAAAGAUAUUGAAUAGUUGUGAUUAGUAGUUUUUGUUUUGCCUAAAUUAGUUGUAUAUUGGUUAUCCAAGAACUGAGAUUAGAUUGAUUUAGAGGUACGUAUUAAAGUAGUCUAGUUUUGCGUCUAAAUUUGUAUUAUAUGUUAUCAAGAAUGAGAAUGGAUUGCUAAGUGGUUUAUUAGUGGUUCUUGCUUUUAGCUAAAAUUAUUGUAUAUGUAGUUAUCAAGAGAAAUGAGAAAGAAUGAAUAGUGUUAUUAGUGUUCUGUGUUUUGCUAAUUUGUAUUAGGUUGUUAUCAAGAAAUGAGAGGUCGCGUAAGUGUUUUAUUACGUGGGUUGCUUGUUUGUCUAAAUUUGUGUAUAUUCCUUUAUCACAGUAUGUGUGUAUUGAGUUUGAGGUGUCGUUACUUCAGUUUUUGUCACACUAUUUUGAUAUGAUUCUAUCAAAGAAAAUGAGAAGAUUGAUGAGUGUAUCAUUAGUGUUCUGUGUUUGUUGCAUAAAUUUUGUUAUUGUAUUAUCAUAAGAAAAUGAAAGAUUUGAUAGUGUUUAUUAGUGUCGCUUUGUUUUUGCUAAAUUUGUAUAUUGUUAUCUAUAUAUAUAAGCGUAAAUACAGGAAGAGUUGAUACGUAGUAGUAGAUGUUAGUGUUCUUGUUUUGCUAAUUUUGUAAUAUUGUUAUCAAGAAUGAAGUAAGGUCGAUAGUGUUAUUAGUGUUCUUGUUUUGGCUAAAUUUGUAAUAUUCUUAUCAACGAAAUCGAGAAGAUUGAUAGUGUUAUAGUGUUUCUUGUUUUGCUUAAUUUUGUAUAUUCUUAUCAAGAAAUAGAAGAUUGAUAGUGUUUAUAUUAGUGGGUUUCUUGGUUUUGCUAAUUUUGUAUAUUGUUGUCCAAGCAAUGAGAAGAUUGAUACUGUUUAUUAGUGUCUUGUUAUGCUAAAAUUUUGUAUAGUUAUCAAAAGAAAUGAAGAAAGAUUGAUAGUGUUAUUAGUGUUCCUUGUUUGCUAAUUUGUAUAUUGUUAUCAAGAAAUGAGAAGAUCGAUUGGUUUUAAGUGUUCUUGUUUUGCUAAUUUGUAAAAUAUUGUUGCCAAGAAAGGAGAAGAUGAUAGUGUUUACUUAGUGUUCUUGUUUUGCUAAAUUGUGUAUAUUGUUUGUCAAGAAUGAGAAGCUUGAAUAGUGUAUUAGUGUUUUGUUUUGCUAAAUUUUGUAUAUUGUUCAUCAAGAAAUGAGAAGAUGUAAUAGUGUUAUUAGAUGUUCUUUGUUUUGCUAAAUUUUGUAUAUGUAUCAAAAAUGAGAAGAUUGAUAGUGUUUAUUCGUGUUUCUUUGUUUUGCUAAAUUUUGUAUAUUGUUAUCCAGAAAUGCGAAGAUUGGAUAGUGUUUUUAGUGUUAUUGUUUUGCUAAAUUUUGUAUAUAUGUUUAUCAAGAAAUGAGUAGGUCGAUAGUGUUAUUAGUGUUUCUUGUUUUGCUAAAUUUGUAUAUUCUUAUCAAGAAAUGAGAAGAUUGAUAGUGGUUAUUAAGUGUUCUUGUUUUGCUAUAUUUGUAUAUUGGUUUAUCAAGAAAUGAGAAGAUUGAUAGUGUUAUUGUGUUAUUGUUUUGCUUAAAUUUUGUAAUUGUUGUCCAGAAUGAGAAAGAUUGGAAUAAUGUUAUUAUGUUCUUGUUAUGCCUAAAUUUUGAUAUUGUUAUCAGAUAUACGAGAAGAUUGAUAGUGUUUUUUAGUGUUCUGUUUUGCUAAAUGUGUAUAUUGUUAGUCAGGAUGAGAAGAUUGAUAGUGGUUAUUAGUGUUUUUGUUGCUAAAAUUUUGUAUAUUGUUAUCAAGAAAUGAGAAGAUUGAUUGAUUUAUUGUGUUCUUGUUUGCUAAAUUUUGUAUAUUGUUUAUCAAGAAAUGAGAAGAUUGAUAGUGUUAUUAGUGUUCUGUUUUGCUAAAUUUGUAUAUUGUUAUCAGAAAUGAGAAGAUUGAUAGUGUUAUAGGUGUUCUUGUUUUGCUAAAUUUUGUUAUUGUUAUCAAGAAAUGAGAAAGGUCGAUAGGUUUUAUUAGAGUGUUCUUGUUUUGCUANNNNUAUUUGUUAUCAAGAAUGAGAAGAUUGAUAGUGUUAUUAGUGUUCUUGUUUUGCUAAAUUUUGUAUAUUGUUAUCAAGAAAUGAGAAGAUUGAUAGUGUGAUUAGUGUUCUUGUUUUGCUAAAUUUUGUAUAUUGUUAUCAAGAAUGAGAAGAUUGAUAGUGUUAUUAGUGUUCUUGUUUUGCUAAAUUUUGUAUAUUGUUAUCAAGAAAUGAGAAGAUUGAUAGUGUUAUUAGUGUUCUUUGUUUUGCUAAAUUUUUUAUAUUGUUAUCAAGAAAUGAGAAGAUUGAUAGUGUUAUUAGUGUUCUUGUUUGCUAAAUUUUGUAUAUUGUUAUCAAGAAAUGAGAAGAUUGAUAGUGUUUUUGUGUUUUGUUUUGCUAAAUUUUGUAUAUUGUUAUCAAGAAAUGAGAAGUUGAUAGUGUUAUUAGUGUUCUUGUUUUGCUAAAUUUUGUAUAUUGUUAUCAGAAAUAGGAAGUUGAUAGUGUUAUUAGUGUUCUUGUUAUCAAGAAACGUUUGACGCUGACCCUUUAGCAAAAUCUCUCAAAAAUGAAAGGCAUUGCCAUGGGGAAUUCUCCAUGGCUUCUUUCAGUCAAAUAAGGAAUGGAAGAUCACAACCAAGUCGAUGUAAGCCAUGACGCACUGUUCGUUUGAUAUUUAUGAUGGCUUCAAAAGGCCACACCACUGCUUCUAUAUCCGUACCACAUUUUAGGACUCUAUUAUGUGAGUUAUUUCUUUGCUUCUUUUUUCUUAGCAUCUUACGUAUAUGUUAUCAAGAAAUGAGAGAUUGAUAGUGUUAUUAGUGUUCUUGUUUGCUAAAUUUUGUAUAUUGUUAUCAAGAAAUGAGAAGAUUGAUAGUGUUAUUAGUGUUUUGUUUAAAUUUUGUAUAUUGUUAUCAAAAUGAGAAGAUUGAUAGUGUAUGUGUCUGUUUGCUAAAUUUUUAUAUUGUUAUCAAGAAAGAGAAGAUUAUAGUGUUAUUAGUGUUCUUUUUUUGCUAAUUUGUAUAUUGUUAUCAAGAAAUGAGAAGAUUGAUAGUGUUAUUAGUGUUCUUGUUUUGCUAAUUUGAUAUUGUUAUCAAGAAAUGGAAGAUUGAUAGUGUUUAUUGUCUUCUUGUUUUGCUAAAUUUUGUAUAUUGUUAUCAAGAAAGUAGAAAGAUUGAUAGUGUUAUUAGUGUUCUUGUUUUGCUAAAUUUGUAUAUUGUUAUCAAGAAAUGAGAAGAUGAUAGUGUUAUUAGUGUUCUUGUUUUGCUAAAUUUAUAUUGUUAUCAAGAAAUGAGAAGAUUGAUAGUGUUAUUAUGUUCUUGUUUUGAUAAUUUUGUAUAUUGUUAUCAAGAAAGAGAAGAUGAUAGUGUUAUUAGUGUUCUUGUUUUGCUAAAUUUUGUAUAUGUUAUCAAGAAUGAGAAGAUUGAUAGGGUUAUUAGUUUCUUGUUUGCUAAAUUUUGUAAAUUGUUAUCAAGAAAUGAGAAGAUUGAUGUGUUAUUAGUGUUCUGUUUUGCAAAUUUUGUAUAUUGUUAUCAAGAAAUGAGAAGGUUGAUAGUGUUAUUAGUGUUCUUGUUUUGCUAAAUUUUUAUUGUUAUCAAGAAAUGAGAAGAUUGAUAGUGUUAUUAGUGUUCUUAUCAAGAAACGUUUGACGCUGACCCUUUAGCAAAAUCUCUCAAAAUGAAAGGCAUGCCAUGGGGAAUUCUCCAUGGCUUCUUUCAGUCAAAAAGGAUAUGGAAGAUCACACAAGUCGAUGUAAGCCAUGACCACUGUUCGUUUGAAUUUAUGAUGGUUUUCAAAGGCCACACCAUUGCUCUUCCUAUAUUCGUACGCCAUCUUUAGGACUCUAUUAUGUGGUUAUUUCUUGCUUUUUUUCUUUAGCAUACAAUCUUAUAUUGUUAUAGAAAAAAGAAAGAUUGAUAGUGUUAUUAGUGUUCUUGUUUUCUAAAUUUUGUAUAUUGUUAUCAAGAAAUGAGAAGAUUGAUAGUGUUAUUAGUGUUCUUUUGUAAAUUUUGUAUAUUGUUAUCAAGAAAUGAGAAGAUUGAUAGUGUAUUAGUGUUCUUGUUUUGCUAAAUUUGUAUAUUGUUAUCAAGAAAGAGAAAUUGAUAGUGUUAUUAGUGUUCUUGUUUUGCUAAAUUUUGUAUAUUGUUAUCAAGAAUGAGAAGAUUGAUAGUGUUAUUAGUGUUCUUGUUUGUCUAAAUUUUGUAAUUGUUAUCAAGAAAUGAGAAGAUUGAUAGUGUUAUUAGUGUUCUUGUUUUGCUAAAUUUUGUAUUUGUUAUCAAGAAAUGAGAAGGUUGAUAGUGUUAUUAGUGUUCUUGUUUUGCUAUUUUGUAUAUUGUUAUCAAGAAAUGAGAAGAUUGAUAGUGUUAUUAGUGUUCUUAUCAAGAAACGUUUGACGCUGACCCUUUGAAAUCUCUCAAAAAUGAAAGGCAUUGCCAUGGGAAUUCUCCAUGGCUUUCUGUUCAGUCAAAAGGAUAUGGAAGAUCACAACCAAGUCGAUGUAAGCAUGACCCUGUUUUCGUUUAUUUAUGAUGGUUCAAAGGCACACCAGCUUCUAUAUUCGUACGCACAUCUUUAGGAUUAUUAGUGAGUUAUUUCUUUGCUUCUUUUUCUUAGCAUACUAAUCUGUAUAUUGUAUCAGAAAAAGAAGAUUGAUAGUGUUAUUAGUGUUUUGUUUUUCUAAAUUUUGUAUAUUGUUAUCAAGAAAUGAGAAGAUUGAUAGUGUUAUUAGUGUUCUUUUUUGCUAAAUUUUGUAUAUUGUUAUCAAGAAAUGAGAAGAUUGAUAGUGUAUUUAGUGUUCUUGUUUUGCUAAAUUUUGUAUAUUGUUAUCAAGAAAUGAGAAGAUUGAUAGUGUUAUUAGUGUUCUUGUUUUGCUAAAUUUUGUAUAUUGUUAUCAAGAAAUGAGAAGAUUGAUAGUGUUAUUAGUGUUCUUGUUUUGCUAAAUUUUAUAUUGAUACAAGAAAUGAGAAGAUUGAUAGUGUUAUUAGUGUUCUUGUUGCUAAAUUUUGUAUAUUGUUCAAGAAAUGAGAAGAUUGAUAGUGUUAUUAGUGUUUUGUUUUGCUAAAUUUUGUAUAUGUUAUCAAGAAAUGAGAUAUGAGUGUAUUAGUGUUCUUGUUUUGCUAAAUUUGUAUAUUGUUAUCAGAAAAUGAGAAGUUGAUAGUGUUAUUAGUGUUCUGUUUUGCUUAUUUUGUAUAUUGUUAUCAAGAAAUGAGAAGAUUGAUAGUGUUUAUUAGUGUUUCUUGUUAUCAAGAAACGUUUGACCGCUGACCCUUUAGCAAAAUCUCUCAAAAAUGAAAGGCAUUGCCAUGGGGAAUUCUCCAUGGCUUCUAUUCAGUAAAAUAAGGAUAUGGAAGAUUGUUAUUAGUGUUCUUGUUUUGCAAAAUUUUGUAUAUUGUUAUCAAGAAAUGAGAAGAUUGAUAGUGUUAUUAGUGUUCUUGUUUUGCUAAAUUUUGUAUAUUGUUAUCAAGAAAUGAGAAGAUUGAGAGUGGUAUUAGUGUUCUUGUUUUGCUAAAUUUUGUAUAUUGUUAUCAAGAAAUUAGAAGUUUGAUAGUGUUAUUAGUGUUCUUGUUUUGCUAAAUUUUGUAUAAUUUUAUCAAGAAAUGAGAAGAUUGAUAGUGUUAUUAGUGUUCUUGUUUUGCUAAAUUCUAUAUAUUGUUAUCAAGAAAUGAGAAGAUUGAUAGGGUUAUUAGUAUUCAUGUUUUGCUAAAUAUUGUAUAUUGUUAUCAAGAAAUGAGUAGAUUGAUAGUGUUAUUAGUGUUCUUGUUUUGCUAAAUUUUGUAUAUUGUUAUCAAGAAAUUAGAAGAUUGAUAGUGUUAUUAGUGUUCUUGUUUUGCUAAAUUUUGUAUAUUGUUAUCAAGAAAUGUGAGAAGAUUGAUAGUGUUAUUAGUGUUUCUUGUUUUUGCUAAAUUUUGUAUAUUUUAUCAAGAAAUGAGAAGAUUGAUAGUGUUAUUAGUGUUCUUGUUUUGCUAAAUUUGUAUAUUGUUUCAAGAAAUGAGAAGAUUGAUAGUGUUUAUUAGUGUUCUGUUUGCUAAAUUUUGUAUAUGUUAUCAAGAAAUGAGAAGAUUGAUAGUGUUAUUAGUGUUCUUGUUUUGCUAAAUUUUGUAUAUUGUUAUCAAGAAUGAGAAGAUGUGUGUGUUUUAUUAGUUCUUGUUUUGCUAAUUUUGUAUUGUUCAAGAAAUGGAGAAGAUGAUAGGUGUUUAUUGUGCUUCUUUUGCUAAAUUGUAUAUUGUUUCAAAAAAUGAGAAGAUGAUAGUGUUUUAUGUGUUCUUUUUUUGCUAAAUUUUGUAUAUUGUUAUCAAGAAAUGAGAAGAUUGAUAGUGUAUUAGUGUUCUUGUUUUGCUAAAUUUGUAUAUUGUUAUCAAGAAAUGGAGAAGAUUGAUAGUGUUAUUGUAGUGUUCUUGUUUUGCUAAAUUUUGUAUAUUGUUAUAAGAAAUGAGAGAGUUGAUAGUGUUAUUAGUGUUCUUUGGUUUGCUAAAUUUUGUAUAUUUGUUAUCAAGAAAUGAGAAGUAUGAGAUAGUGUUAGUUAGUGUUCUUGUUUUGCUGAAUUUUUGUAUAUUGUUAUCAAGAAAUGAGAAGAUUGAUAGUGUUAUUAGUGGUUUUCGUUUUGCUAAAUUUUGUAUAUUGUUUCAAGAAUGAGAAGAUUGAUAUGUUAUUAGUGUUCUUGUUUGCUAAAUUUGUAUAUUGUUAUCAAGAAUGAGAAGAUUGAAUAGUGUUAUUAGUGUUCUUGUUUUGCUAAAUUUUGUAUAUUGUUUAUCAAGAAAUGAGAAGUGAUAGUGUUUAUUAGUGUUCUUGUUUUGCUAAAUUUUGUAUAUUUUAUCAAGAAUGAGAAGAUUGAUAGUGUUAUUAGUGUUCUUGUUUUGCUAAAUUUUGUAUAUUGUUAUCAAGAAUAGAAGAUUGAUAGUGUUAUUAGUGUUCUUGUUUUGCUAAAUUUUGUAUAUUGUGUCAAAGAAAUGAGAAGAUUGAUAGUGUUAUUAGUGUUCUUUGUUUGCUAAAAUUUGUAUAUUGUUAUCAAGAAAUGAGAAGAUUGAUAGUGUUAUUAGUGUUCUUGUUUUGCUAAAUUUGUAUAUUGUUUAUCAAGAAAUGAGAAGAUUGAUAGUGUUAUUAGUGUUCUUGUUUUGCUAAAUUUUGUAUAUUGUUAUCUAAGAAAUGAAGAAGAUUGAUAGUGUUAUUAGUGUUCUUGUUUUGCUAAAUUUUGUAUAUUGUUAUCAAGAAUAAUGAAGUACGAUAGUGUUAUUAGUGUUCUUGUUUUGCUAAAUUUUGUAUUAUUGUUAUCAAGAAAUGAGAGAUUGAUAGCUGUAUUAGUGUUCUUGUUUUGCUAAAUUUUGUAUAUUGUUAUCAAGAAAUGAGAAGAUUGAUAGUGUUAUUAGUGUUCUUGUUUUUUUGCUAAAUUCUAUAUAUUGUUAUCAAGAAAUGAGAAGAUUGAUAGGGUUAUUAGUAUUCAUGUUUUGCUAAAUUUUGUAUAUUGUUAUCAAGAAAUGAGAAGAUUGAUAGGGUUAUUAUUGUUCUCGUUUUGCUAAAUUUUGUAUAUUCUUAUCAAGAAAUAAGAAGAUUGAUAGUGUUGUUAGUGUUCUUGUUUUGCUAAAUUUUGUAUAUUGUUAUCAAGAAAUGAGAAGCUUGAUAGUGUUAUUAGUCGUCUUGUUUUUCUAAAUUUUGUAUAUUAUUAUCAAGAAAUGAGAAGGUUGAUAGUGUUAUUAGUGUUCUUGUUUUGCUAAAUAUUGUAUAUUGUUAUCAAGAAAUGAGAAGAUUGAUAGUCUUAUUAGUGUUCUUGUUUUGCUAAAUUAUGUAUACUGUUAUCAAGAAAUGAGAAGAUUGAUAUUGUUAUUAGUGUUCUUGUUUUGCUAAAUUUUGUAUAUUGUUAUCAAGAAAUGAGAAGAUUGAUAGUGUUAUUAGUGUUCUUGUUUUGCUAAAUUUUGUAUAUUGUUAUCAAGAAAUGAGAAGAUUGAUAGUGUUAUUUGUGUUCUUGUUUUGCUAAAUUUUGUAUAUUGUUAUCAAGAAAUGAGAAGAUUAAUAGUGUUAUUAGUGUUCUUGUUUUGCUAAAUUUUAUAUAUUGUUAUCAAGAAAUAGGAAGGUUGAUAGUGUUAAUAGUUUUCUUGUUUUGCUUAAUUUUGUAUAUUGUUGUCAAGAAAUGAGAAGAUGAUAGUGUUAUUAGUGUUCUUGUUAUCAAGAAACGUUUGAAGCUGACCCUUUAGCAAAAUCUCUCAAAAAUGAAAGGCAUUGCCAUGGGGAAUUCUCGAUGGCUUCUAUUCAGUCAAAUAAGGAUAUGGAAGAUCACAACCAAGUCGAUGUAAGUCAUGACGUGAGUUAUUUCUUUGCUUCUUUUUUCUUAGCAUACUACUCUGUAUAUUAUUAUCAAGAAAUGAGAAGAUUGAUAGUGUUAUUAGUGUUCUUGUUUUGCUAAAUUUUGUAUAUUGUUAUCAAGAAAUGAGAAGAUUGAUAUUGUUAUUAGUGUUCUUGUUUUGCUAUAUUUUGUAUAUUGUUAUAAAGAAAUGAGAAGAUUGAUAGUGUUAUUAGUGUUCUUGUUUUGCUAAAUUUUGUAUAUUGUUAUCAAGAAAUGAGAAGAUUGGUAGUGUUAUUAGUGUUCUUGUUUUGCUAAAUUNNNNNNNNNNNNNNNNNNNUGCAAGAGGAAAUUUCUUUCUCUUGAAAAAUGCAAGGCUUGCCAUGUACUGUGCGAAUCCCAUAGAGCUUCCUCCUAGUUUUCAGUCCAGAAACUCUUAAGUUGGGAUAUGGAAGAUCACAACCAAGUCGAUGUAACUCAUACGCACUGUCGUUGAUUAUGAUGGAUUCAAAGGCCACACCACUGCUUUCUAAUCCGUACGUCAACAUCUUUGAGGACGUCUAUUACGUGAGUUAUUCUUUGCUUCCCCUUUUUCUUAGCAUACUUAUCUAUAUAUUUUUUAUCAAAGGAUAAUAGUAAGAUUGAUAGUGUUAUAGUGUCGAUUGUUUUGCCUAAUUGUUGCGUAUAUGUAUCCAUACUCCAAAGAGAAGAUUGUAAUAUUAGUUAGUGUUCGUGUCUUUUGCUAAAAUUUUAUUUAUCAAGAAACGAGAGAGGAUUGAUAGUGCUGAUUUUAGUAGUUUCUUGUUUACGUAAAAUUGUAGACUUAUUUCAAGAAAUGAGAAAGAUUGAUAAAUGUUAUUAGUUUUGCUUGUUUUGCUUAAAUUUGCUGAUGUUAUCAAGAAAUAUAGAUGAUAGUGUUAUUAGUGUGCUUGUUUUUCUAAAUUUGUAUAUUUAUUCAAGAAAUGAGAAGGUUGAUAAGUAUUUAAGUUUCUUGUGUUGCUAAAUUUUUAUAUUGUUUUUAGCAAAGGAAAUUGAGAAGGUUGAUAGUGUUAUUAGUAUUCUUGUUUUGCUACAAUUUUGUUAUUGUUACUCAAGAAAUGAGAAGAUGAUAGUGUUAUUUAGUGAUUCUUGGGGUUUACAAAGGAAACGUUGACGUCUGACCUAUGCUCUCAUUAAAAUUCUCUGGGAAAAAUGAACAGCAUUGCCUAGAGAAGUUUCCAUGCUGCUCUUCAGUCAAAUAAGGGAUAUGGAAGAUUCACAACCAAGCGAGUAUAGCCAUGAGCGCUACUAAUUUCGUUGGAAAUUAUGAUGGCUUCAGAACGCCACACGCUGUCUUCCUUUUUAUCCGUGACGCACAUCUUUAGGACCUUCUAUUCGGGGAGUUAGUGUCUUUGCUUUCUUUUUUCUUAGGCUAUACUUUAUCUGUAGGUAUUGUUCAUUCCAAUAUUAAGCUAGAUUUUGAGAUAGUGUGGUUUAGUGUUCUUGUUUUGCUAAAUUAUAUAUUGUUAUCAAGUAAAUGAGAGAGUGGAUAAGUGUUAUUGGUGGUUUCUUGUUUUGCUAAAUGUGUGGUAUAUUGUAUCAAGAAAUGUAGAAGAUUUGAAGUGUUAUUUGUGUUCUUGUUGUGACUAAAUCUACUAAACAAUUUGUCUUAUUGUUAUCAAGAAGAUGAGAAGAUUGAUAGUGUUAUUAAUGUUGUGAGUUGCUAAAUUUGGCUUUUGUUACUCAAGAAAUCGAGAAAGAUUGAUAGUCGUUAUUAGUGUUCUUGUUGCUAAAUUUUGUAUAUUUUACCCAAAGAAAUGAUGAAGAUUGAUAGUUGUUAUUAGUGGUUCUUGUUUUGCUAAAUUGGUAUAUUGUUAUCAGAAAUCGAAGAAGGAUUUAUAGUGUUAUUAGUGUUCUUGUUUUGCGUUAAAUUGUAUAUUAUUAUCAAGAAAUGAGAAGGUUGAUAGUCGGGUAGUUAGUGUCUCUCUCGUUUUGCUAAAUUUUGUUAUGUUAUCAAGGAAAUGAGAAGAUUGAUAGUGUUAUUAGUGUUCUUUUAUUAUUUCAAGAAACGUUUCGAAGCUGACCCUUGAUAGCGAAAUCUCUCAAAAGAAAGCAUGCACAUAAAGGACGAAAUUCUCCAAUUGGCUUUGCUAGUCAUCAAAAAGGAAUGGAAGACACAACCAAAGUGGCUAUGUAAGUCAUGACGCACUGUUCGUUUGAAUUUAGUGUAUGGCUUCACAAGGCCACACCCCGAACGCUUCCUGAUAUUGCGGUACGGCCACAUCUUUAGGACUCUAUUACGUCGAGUUAUUUCUUUGCUUCUUUGGUUUCUUAGCAGACUAACUACUGAUCUAUUGUUAUCAAGAAAUGAGAAAAAGAUAUGAUAGUGUUAGUAGUGUCAAUGUGUUUCGCUAAAUUUUGUAUAUUGUUAUCAGAAAUGAGAAGGAGUUUCUAGUGUUCAUCUAAGCUGUUCUUGUUUUUUCUGUAAUUAGUUAUAUUGUGUAUCAAGAAAUGAGACGAUUGAUUAGUUGAUUACCGUGUUCUUAUUAUUGCCUAAAUUUUGUAUAUUGUUUCAAGAACAUAGAAGAUUGAUAAUUUAUAGUGUUUUCUCUGUUUGCUAAUUUGUAUACGUAUAUUCAAUGAAUAGGAAGGAUUGAUAGUGUUAUUAGUGUUCUUGUUUGCUAAACUUUCGUGUAUAUUGUAUAUCCAAGCAAAUGAGAAUGAUUAUAGUUGUUAUUAGUGUUCUUGUUUUGCGCUAAAUUUGUAUAUGUUAUCAAGAAAUGAGAAGAUUGAUAUGUGUUAUUAUGUUGUUCUUGUUUUGCUAAAUUACUGUAUAUUGUAUCAAAAAAUGAGAAGAUUUGAUAGCUAGUUAUUGUGUUCUUUCUCGUGUUUUGCUAAAUUUGUAUAUAUGUUAUCAAGAAAUAGGAAGUUGAUAGUGUUAUUAGCUGUUCUUGGUUUUUAUAAAUUAUUGUAUAUUUAUGUAAGAAAUGAGAAGAUUGAUAUGUUAUUAGUGUUCUUGUCUUUUUUGCUAAAUUUGAUAUUGUAUCAAGAAAUGGAGAACUGAUUGAUAGUGUUUAGUGUUUAGUCAUUGUUUUGCUAAUAUGUAUACUUUGUAUCAAGAAAUGAGAGAUUGAUAGUUGAUAGGUGUUCUUGUUUUAGCUAAUAUUGUAUAUUGUUAUCAAGAAAUGAGAAGCAUUGAUAGUGUUAUUAGUGUUCUUGCUUUUGCCUAAAUUGUAUAUUGUUAUCAAGAAAUGAGAAGAUGGAUGAUAGUGUUAUUAGUGUUCUAUUUUUUGCUAAAUUUUCGCUAUAUUGAUUAUCAAGAAAUGAGAAGAUUGAUAGUGAUUUAGUGUUCUUCUUUUGCUAAAUUUUGUUAUAUUGUUUAUUAUCAAAAAGUGAGAAGAGUGAUAGAUUAGUUGUCGUUCUUGUUUUGCUUAAUUGGUAUAUUGUUAUCAAGAAAUAGAGAAGAUUGAUUAGUGUUAUUAGUGGUUUCUUGUUUUGCUAAAUUUGUAUAUUGUGUAUCAAGAAAUUGAGAGAUUGAUAGUGUAUUAGUGUUCUGUUUUGCUAAAUUUGCGUAUAUUGUUAGCAAGAAGUGAGCAAGGAUUUACUAGUGUUAUUAGGUUUCUUGUUAUUGCUAAAUUUUUGUAUAAUUAUUAAUCAAGAGAAUCGAGAAGGUUGAUAGUGGAUUAGUGCUUUCUUUUUUGCCUUAAAUUUUGUAUAUGCUUAUCUUAAUGAGAAUGAGAAGAUUGAGUGUGAUAAGUGAUUUCUAUGUUUUGCUAAUAUUUCCGUAAUAUUUUUAUCAAGAAAUGUAGAAGAUUUGAUAGUUGUAUAGAUGCCUUCUGUGUGUGCUCUAAAUUUGUAUAUUGUUACAAGAGAGAGAACAAGAUUGAUAGUGUUAUGGUGGGGUAGUGUUCUUGUUUGCUAUAAUUUGGCUAUAUUGUUAUCAAGAAAUAGAAAUUUAGAGGUAUUAGUGUUCUCGUUUUUGCAAAUUUUGUAUAUUAUUAUCAGAAUGAGAAGGUUGAUAGUGUUAUUAGUGUUCGUGUUUUGCUAAAUUUUGUUAUUGUUAUCAAGAAAUGAGAGAAUUGAUAGUGUUAUUAGUGUGCUAUAUCAAGAAACGUUUGACGACUGACCCUUUAGCAAAAAUCUGCUCAAAAAGUUGAAAGGCCCAUUGAUAGGGAAUUCUCCAGUGGCAUUCUAUCACCCCAAAUCAAGGAUAUGAAGCAUCAAAGCAGAACCAAGUCUUAUGUAAGCUAUGACGCACUGUUCGUUUGAAAUUUAUUGAUGGUCUUCAAAGGCCACACAGACUGCUUCCUAUAUUCGUAGCACAUCUUUAGGACACCUCCUAUACGUGGAGUUAUUUUCUUUGUUCUUUUUUCUCCUUUAGCAUACUAAUAUGUAACGGUUAGCAAAGAAUAGAGAAAGAAUUGAUAGUGUUAUUAGUGUUCUUUCUGCCCUAAUUGUAAUGUGUUAGUCAGAAAUGAGAAGAUUGUAGUGUUAUAGUUGUUCUCUCUUGCUAAAUUGGUAUAUUUUAUCAGAAAUGAGAAGAUUUAUAGUGUAUCUCCUGCUCUUGUUGUGCUAAUUCUCGUAUAUUAUUAUCAUAGUAAAUGAGGAAGCGUUGAUAGUGUAUUAGUCGUUCUUGUUAUGGCAUAAAAUAUUUAUUCUCUUGUAUAUUGUAGUUCAAGAAAAUGAGAGAUUGAGUGGUUAAUAAUUGUUCUUGUUAUUGCUAAAUUUGGAUAUUGUUUCAAGAAAUGAGAAGAUUGAUAGUCGUUAUUAGUGUUCUUGUUUUGCUAAAUUUUGUAUAUUGUUUACCCAGAAGAGAGAGCAUGUUGAUAGUGUUAUUAGUGUGCCUUUGCUAUUGUAUAUUGGUAUCAAGAAAUGAGAAGAUUGUUAUAGUGUUAUUAGUGUUUCGUUUUUGCUAAAUUUGUAUGAUUAUUUAUCAAGAAAUGAGAGGUUAUGUAGUUUAUUAGAUGUUCUUGUUUUGCAAAUUUGUAUAUUGUAUCAAGAACAUGAGAAGGAUGGGAUAGUGUUAUUUAAGUGUUCUGAUUAUCAAGAAAACGUUUGACGCUUGACCCUUAGCAAAAUCCUCAAAAUAUGAAAGGCAUUUGGCCAGUCGGAAUCUCAUGGCUUCUAUUCAGUCAAAUAAGGAAUAUGGAAGAUUCAGCACACCUAAGUCUUGUCCAAGUCAUGAACGCACUGUGUCGUGUUGAAGUGAGGAGAUGGCUUCAGAAGCGCCACACACUGCUUCCUAUGAUUCGUACGCACAUCUGUGGACUCUAUUGGUACGUGAGUUAUUUCUUUGCUUCUUUUUUCUAGCAUACUAAUAUGUAUAUGUUUAUCAAGAAUGAGAAGAUGAUCAGUUGUUAUUAGUGUUCUUGUUUGCUAAAUUUUUGUAUAUUAGGUUAUCAAGAAAUGAGAAAGAUGAUAUGUAAAGAUGUUCUUGCUUUGCUAAGUUUUGUAUUUUUAUCAAGAAUGAAGACGAUUGAUAGUUGUGAUUAGUGUUCUUAUUUUGCCUCAACAUUUCGCUCCUCCUUGUUAACAGAAAAGGAUGAUUGAUGAGAUGUUAGAGUGUUCCUUGUUUUGCCUAAAUUUUGUAUAUCGUAUCAAUAAAUGAGGAAGAUUGAUAGUGUUUUAUUAGUGUUCUUGUUUGUGUAAAUUUUGUAUAUUGAUAUCAAAGAAAAUGGAGAAGAUGAUAGUGGUUAUUAGUUUCUUGUUUUGCCCUUAAUUUUGUAUAUUGUUAUCAAGAAAAUGAGAAGAAUUGAUAGUGUUAUUUGUGUUCUUGUUUUGCUAAAUUUUUAGUAUAUUGUUAUCAAAAAAUCAGAAGAUGAUAGUCGUUAUUAUGUUCUUGUUUGCUAAAUUUUGUAUAUUGUUAUCAAAGAAAAUAGAAGGUUGAUAUUAUUAGUUUUCUGUUUUGUUUAAUUUUGUAUAUUGUUUAUCAAGAAAUGAGAAGAUAAGAUUGAUAGUGUUAUUUGUGUUCUUGUUUUGCUAAAUUUUGUAUAUUGUUAUCAAGAAAUGAGAAGAUUAAUGGUGUUAUUAGUGUUCUUGUUUUGCUAAAUUUUAUAUAUUGUUAUCAAGAAAUAGGAAGUUUGAAAGUGUUAAUAGUUUUCUUGUUUUGCUAAAUAUUGUAUAUUGUUAUCAAGAAAUGAGAAGAUUGAUAGUGUUAUUAGUGUUCUUGUUUUGCUAAAUUAUGUAUAUUGUUAUCAAGAAAUGAGAAUAUUGAUAUUGUUAUUAGUGUUCUUGUUUUGAUAUAUUUUGUAUAUUGUUAUAAAGAAAUGAGAAGAUUGAUAGUGUUAUUAGUGUUCUUGUUUUGCUAAAUUUGGUAUAUUGUUAUCAAGAAAUGAGAAGAUUGGUAGUGUUAUUAGUGUUCUUGUUUUGCUAAAUUUUGUUUAUUGUUAUCAAAAAAUGAGAAGAUUGAUAGUGUUAUUAGUGUUCUUGUUUUGCUAAUAUUUGUAUAUUGUUGUCAAGAAAUUAGAAGAUUGAUAGUGUUAUUAGUGUUCUUGUUUUGCUAAAUUUUGUAUAUUGUUAUCAAGAAAUGAGAAGAUUGAUAGUGUUAUUAGUGUUCUUGUUUUUCUAAAUNNNNNNNNNNNNNNNNNNNNNNNNNNNNNNNNNNNNNNNNNNNNNNNNNNNNNNNNNNNNNNNNNNNNNNNNNNNNNNNNNNNNNNNNNNNNNNNNNNNNNNNNNNNNNNNNNNNNNNNNNNNNNNNNNNNNNNNNNNNNNNNNNNNNNNNNNNNNNNNNNNNNNNNNNNNNNNNNNNNNNNNNNNNNNNNNNNNNNNNNNNNNNNNNNNNNNNNNNNNNNNNNNNNNNNNNNNNNNNNNNNNNNNNNNNNNNNNNNNNNNNNNNNNNNNNNNNNNNNNNNNNNNNNNNNNNNNNNNNNNNNNNNNNNNNNNNNNNNNNNNNNNNNNNNNNNNNNNNNNNNNNNNNNNNNNNNNNNNNNNNNNNNNNNNNNNNNNNNNNNNNNNNNNNNNNNNNNNNNNNNNNNNNNNNNNNNNNNNNNNNNNNNNNNNNNNNNNNNNNNNNNNNNNNNNNNNNNNNNNNNNNNNNNNNNNNNNNNNNNNNNNNNNNNNNNNNNNNNNNNNNNNNNNNNNNNNNNNNNNNNNNNNNNNNNNNNNNNNNNNNNNNNNNNNNNNNNNNNNNNNNNNNNNNNNNNNNNNNNNNNNNNNNNNNNNNUGUUCUUGAGAUUUACCUGUAUAUUGUUAAUGAAGAAAUGAAGAAGAUUGAUUUAGUGUUAUUAGUGUCUUGUUUUGCUAAAUUUUGUAUAUUGUUAUCAAGAAUGAGAAGAUUGAUAGUGUUUAUUAGUGGUUCUUGUUUUGCUAAAUUUUGUAUAUUGUUAUCAAGAAAUGAGAAGAUUGAUAGUGUUUAUUAGUGUUCUUGUUUUGCUAAAUUUUGUAAUUUUGUUAUCAAGAAAAUGAGAAAGGUAGAUGUUAUUAAGUGUCUUGUUUUGGCUAAUUUUGUAUAUUGUUAUCUAAGAAAUGAGAAGAUUGAUAGUGUUAUUAGUGUUCUUGUUUUGCUAAAUUUGUAUAUUGUUAUCAAAGAAAUGAGAAAGAUUGAAUAGUGUUAUUAGUGUUCUUGUUUUGGCUAAUUUUGUAUAUUUGUUAUCAAGAAAUAGAAGAUUGAUAGUGUUAUUAGUGUUCUUUUUGCUAAAUUUUGUAUAUUGUUAUCAAGAAAUGAGAAGAUUGAUAGUGUUAUUAGUGUUCUUGUUUGCUAAAUUUUGUAUAUUGUUAUCAAGAAAUGAGAAAGAUUGAUAGUGUUAUUAGUGUUCUUGUUUUGCUAAAUUUUGUAUAUUGUUAUCAAGAAAUGAGAAGAUUGAUAUGUGUUAUUAGUGUUCUUGUUUUGCUAAAUUUUUGUAUAUUGUUAUCAAGAAAUAGAGAAGAUUGAUAGUGUUAUUAGUGUUCUGUUUUGCUAAAUUUUGUAUAUUGUUAUCAAGAAAUGAGAAGAUUGAUAGUGUUAUUAGUGUUCUUGUUUUGCUAAAUUUUGUAUAUUGUUAUCAAGAAAUUGAGAAAGAUUGAUAGUGUUAUUAGUGUUCUUGUUUUGCUAAUUUUUUGUAUAAAUUGUUAUCAGAGAAAUGAGAAGAUUGAAGUGUUACUAUAGUGUUCUUGUUAUCAAAACAUUAACAGCUGACAAUCCCUUUACCAAAUCUCCCAAAUGAAAGGCAUUGCGCAUGGGAAUUCUCCAUAGCUCUGUUAGUGCAGAAUAUGGGAUAAUGUGGUAUAGAUACACAAACUAGGACGGAUGUAGCCAUGACGCACUGUAUCGUUCGGGAAUUUAUGAUGGCUCUCAAAGGCCACACCGCCGCUGGCUUCCUAUAUCCCGUACGCACAUCUUAGGACGCGGGUAUUACGUGAUUUAUUUUUUUGCUCUUUAACCACUUACCUGUAUACUUGUUAUGAGAAAUGAAAGGAUUUAUAGUGUUAUUAGUGGUUCUGUAAAUUGCGCUAAAUUUGUAAUAAUGUCUAAAGAAAAUGAGAAGAAUCUGAUAGUUUAUUAGUGUUCUUGUUUGCUAAAUUUGGUAUAUGUGUCAGAAAUAAGGAAGAUUGAUAUGUUGUAGUGUUCUGUUUUGCUAAAUUGUAUAGUUAUCACAGAAAUGAGAAAGAUUGAUACUUAUUAUUUCUUUUUUGCCAAAUUGUAUAUUAUAAAAUGAGAAAUGAUGGUAUAUUAUUGUGUUGUUGUUUUGCUAAAUUUUGUACUAUCUAGUUAUCAUGAAAUUAGAGAUUAUAUAGGUCGUUGGAAUUGUAAUUUCUGUCUAUGUUAAUCUUUUGCUAAAUUGUAUAUUGUUAUCAAGAAAUGAAAAUGAUUUUAUUUUUUGUGUUCUAAUUUGGUUAUGGCUGAAAUAAGUGAUAUUAUUGUGUUGUCAAAAAUGAUAUCUGACAAUAAAUGAUAGAUUAAAUGUCUGUGUUUUGCUAAAUUUGUAUACAUGUUAUCCUAAAAAUGAGAACAUGGAUAAGUGUUACAUAGUGUUCUUACGUUUGUUGGAAAUUUGUAUAUUGUUAUCAGAAUGGAAGAAUUGAAUAGUGUUAUUAGUGUUCUUGUUUUGCCUAAUUUUUGUAUAUUUUACAAGAAAUGAGAAAUGAUAGUGUAUUAGUGUUCUUGUGGUUUGCUAAUUUGUCAUAAUGUUAAUCCAGAAAGAGAAAUCUGAUCAUGUAUAUAGUUCUUGUUUGGCUACAAAUUUGUUAUUAUUAUCAAGAAAAGAAUAGUUAUAGUUUCUUUGUUUUGCUAAAUUUGUAAUAUUUUGUCAAGAAAAUAAAAUUGAUAGUUAUUAGUGCUUGUUGCAAACUUUAUAAUUGUUAUCAAGAAUGCAAAAGAUCGGAUAGCUGUUAUAGUUUCUUGUGUUUGCUAAUAUUUGUAUAUUCUUUACAGGAAAUAGAAGAUAGAUAUGGUUAUAGUUCUUGUUUGCUAAAUUGUGCUAUAUGAUUAUCAAGAAAUGAAAAAAACUUGGAUAGUGUUAUAUAUGUUUCUGUUUUUGCUAAAUUUAAGUUAUUGUUACCAAGAAGAGAAGAUUUGAUAGUGUUAUUAGUCGUUCUGUUUUGCUAUUUGUAUGAUGGUUUGCAAGAAAUAGCAAGAUUGGAUAGUGUUAUAGUGUCUUCGUUUGCUAAAUUAGUCAUAUUGUUCAAAGAAAUGAGAAAUUGAAGUAUGUCGGUUCAAAUGUAUUUAUAAGAGAUGUUGUACCUGCUUUUGCUAAAUUGUUGUAUAAUUGUAUCAAUGAAAAAAGAUGAAAUGUUGAUUAGUGUCUCUUGUUUUGCUAAAUAUUGUAUAUUGUUAUCAAGAAAGAAGAGAUUGAUAUGUUGUUAGGUUCUUAGUUUUGCUAAUUUUGUUAUCAUGUUUAUAAAGAAAUGAGAAGAUUGAUAGUUUAUUAAGUGUUCUUGUUCGUAAAUUUGUAAUUUAUUUCAAGAAAUGAGAAAGUGAUAGUGUUAUUAGUGUUCUGUUUGCCUAAAUUUUGUAUAUUGUUAUCAAGUAAAAAUGAGAAGAUUGAUAUUAAUUAGUUUAUUGUUUGCUAAAUUUGUAUAUUGUUAUCAAGAAAUCAGAAGAUGAUUAGUGUUAUUAGUGAUCUUUGUUUCCCUAAAUUUUGUAAUAUCUUAUCAAGAAAUGAGAAAUGAAUGUUUAUAGUGUCUUGUUUGCUAAAUUUUAUAUAUUUUAUCAAGAAAUAGAAGAUGAAGUGUUAAUUAGUGUUCUUGUUUUGCUAAAUUUUGAUUAUAUUUGUCAAGAAAUGAGAAGAUUGAUAAAUGUUAUUAGUGUUCUUGUUUGCUAAAAUUUUGUAUAUUGUUAUCAAGAAAUGAGAAGAUGAUAGUGUAUAUAGUGUUUCUUUUGUUUUGCUAAAUUUUGUAUAUGUAUACAAAAAUUAGAAGAUCGAUAGUGUUAUUAGUGUUCCUUGUUUUGCUAAAUUUUGUAUAUUGUUAUCUCAAAGAAAUGAGAAGAUUGAUAGUGUUAUUAGUGUUCUUGUUUUGCUAAAUUUUGUAUAUUGUUAUCAAGAAAUGAAGAAGAUUGAUAGUGUUAUUAGUGUUCUUGUUUUGCUAAAUUUUGUAUAUUGUUAUCAAGAAAUGAGAAGAUUGAUAUGUUAUUAGUGUUUGUUUUUGCUAAAUUUGUAUAUUGUUAUCAAGAAAUAGAAGAUUGAUAGUGUUAUUAGUGUUCUUGUUUGCUAAAUUUUGUAUAUUGUUAUCAAGAAAUGAAGAGAUUGAUAGUGUUAUUAGUGUUCUUGUUUUGCUAAAAUUUUGUAUAUUGUUAUCAAGAAAUGAGAAGAUUGAUAGUGUUAUUAGUGUUCUUGUUUUGCUAAUUUUGUAUAUUGUUAUCAAAGAAAUGAGAAGAUUGAUAUGUUUUAGUGUCUUCGUUUUGCUAAAUUUUUGUAUAUUGUAUCAAAGAAAUGAGAAGAUUGAUAGUGUUAUUAGUGUUCUUGUUUGCUAAAUUUUGUAUAUUGUUAUCAAGAAAUGAGAAGAUGAUAGUGUUAUUAGUGUUUCUUGUUUUGCUAAAUUUUUGUAUAUUUUUAUCAAGAAAUGAGAGAUUGAUAGUGUUAUUAGUGUUUGUUUUGCUAAUUUGUAUAUUGUUAUCAGAAAUGAGAAGAUUGAUAGUGUUAUUUAGUGUUCUUGUUUUCCUAAAUUUUGUAUAUUUUAUCAAGAAAUGAGAAGAUUGAUAGUGUUAUUAGUGUUCUUGUUUGCUAAAUUUUAUAUUGUUAUCAAGAAAUGAGAAGAUUGAUAGUGUUAUUAGUGUUCUUGUUUUGCUAAAUUUUGUAUAUUGUUUUCAAGAAAUGAGAAGAUUGAUAGUGUUAUUAGUGUUCUUGUUUUGCUAAAUUUUGUAUUAUUGUUAUCAAGAAAAUGAGAGAUGAUAUGUAUUAGUGUUCUUGUUUUGCUAAAUUUGUAUAUUGUUAUCAAAGAAAUGAGAAGAUUGGAUAGUGUUAUUAGUGUUCUUGUUUUGCUAAAUUUUGUAUAUUGUUUCAAGAAAUGAGAAGAUUGAUAGUGUUAUUAGUGUUCUUGUUUUGCUAAAUUUUGUAUAUUGUUAUCAAAGAAAUGAGAAGAUUGAUAGUGUUAUAGUGUUCUUGUUUUGCUAAAUUUUGUAUAUUGUUAUCAAGAAAUGAGAAGAUUGAUAGUGUUAUUAGUGCUUGUUUUGCCUAAAUUUUGUAUAUUGUUAUCAAGAAAUGAGAAGAUUGAUAGUGUUAUUAGUGUUCUUGUUUUGCUAAAUUUUGUAUAUUGUUAUCAGAAAUGAGAAGAUUUGAUAGUGUUAUUAGUGUUCUUGUUUUGCUAAAUUUUAUAUUGUUAUCAAGAAAUGAGAAGAUUGAUAGUGUUAUUAGUGUUCUUGUUUUGCUAAAUUUGUAUAUUGUUAUCAAGAAAUGAGAAGAUUGAUAGUGUUAUUAGUGUUCUUGUUUUGCUAAAUUUUGUAUAUUGUUAUCAAGAAUGAGAAGAUUGAUAGUGUUAUUAGUGUUCUGUUUUGCUAAAUUUUGUAUAUUGUUAUCAAAGAAAUGAGAAGAUUGAUAGUGUUAUUAGUGUUCUUGUUUUGCUAAAAUUUAGUAUAUUGUGUAUCAAUAAGAAUGAGAAGAUUGAUAGUGUUAUGAUGUUCUUGUUUGCUAAAUUUUGUAUAUUGUUAUAGAAAUGAGAAGAUUGAUAGUGUAUUAGUGUUCUUGUUUUGCUAAAUUUUGUAUAUUGUUAUCAAGAAAUGAGAAGGUUGAUAGUGUUAUUAGUGUUCUUGUUUUUGCUAAUUUUGUAUAUUGUUAAUGCAAGAAAUGAGAAGAUUGAUAGUGUUAUUAGUGUUCUUUUGUCUUGAAUAUUUUUAUUUGUUACAAGAAAUUGAGAGAUUGAUAGUGUUUAUUUUGUGUUUCUUGUAUCAAGAAACGUUGGACGCUGACCCUUUAGCAAAUCUCUCAAAAAUGAAAGCUUUGCUAAUUUUGUAUAUUGUUAUCAAGAAAUGAGAAGAUUGAUAGUGUUUUUAGUGUUCUUGUUUUGCUAAAUUUUGUAUAUUGUUAUCAAGAAAUAAGGAGAUUGAUAAUGUUGUUAGUGUUCUUAUUUUGCUAAAUUUUGUAUAUUGUUAUCAAGAAAUGAGAAGAUUGAUAGUGUUAUUAGUGUUCUUGUGUUGCUAAAUUUGUAUAUUGUUAUCAAGAAAUGAGAAGAUUGAUAGUGUUAUUAGUGUUGUUGUUUUGCUAAAUUUUGUAUAUUGUUAUCUAGAAAAUAGAAGAUUGAUAGUGUUAUUACUGUUCUUGUUUUGCUAAUUUUGUAUAUUGUUAUCAAGAAAUGAGAAGAUUGAUAGUGUUAUUAGUGUUCUUGUUUCGCUAAAUUUUGUAUAUUGUUGACCAGAAAUGAGAAGAUUGAUAGUGUUAUUAGUGUUCUUGUUUUGCUAAAUUUUGUAUAUUGUUAUCAAAAAAUGAGAAGAUUGAUAGUGUUACUAGUGUGCUUGUUUUGCUAAAUUUUGUAUAUUGUUAUCAAGAAAUGAGAAGAUUGAUAGUGUUAUUAGUGUUCUUGUUUUACUAAAUUUUGUAUAUUGUUAUCAAGAAAUGAGAAGAUUGAUAGUGUUAUUUAUCACGAAUAUGAGACGGAUUGAUAGUGUUAUUAGUGUUCUUGUUUUGCUAAUUUUGUAUAUUGUUAUAAGAAAUGAGAAGAUUGAUAGUGUAUUAUGUGUUCUUGUUUGGCUAAUUUGUAUAUUGUUAUCAAGAAAUGAAGCGAUUGUAGUGUUAUUAGUGUUCUUGUUUUGCUAAUUUUGUAUAUUUUCAAGAAAUGAGAGAUAUGAUUGAUAUUUUAGGUUAGUGUUUGCUAAGAUUGGUCUAGAGUAUAAUGGAAUUGAUAUUAGUUCUGUUCUUGUUUGCUAAAUUUGUAUAUUGUUAUCAAGAAAUGAGAGAUUGAUAGUGUUAUUAGUGUUCUUGUUUUGCUAAAUUUUGUAUAUUGUUAUCAAGAAAUGAGAAGAUUGAUAGUGUUAUUAGUGUUUGUGUUUGCUAAAUUUUGUAUAUUGUUAUCAAAAAUGAGAAGAUUGAUAGUGUUCUUGUUUUGCUAAAUUUUGUAUAUGUUAUCAAGAAAUGAGAAGAUUGAAGUGUUAUUAGUGUUCUUGUUUUGCUAAAUUUUGUAUAUUGUUAUCAAGAAAUGAGAAGAUUGAUAGUGUUAUUAGUGUUGUUUUUGCUAAAUUUUGUAUAUUGUUAUAAGAAAUGAGAAGAUUGAUAGUUGUUAUAGUGUUCUUGUUUGCUAAAUUUUGUAUUAGUUAUCAAGAAAUGAGAAGAUUGAUAGUGUAUUAGUGUCUUGUUUUGCUAAAUUUGUAUAUUGUUAACAAAUGAGAAGAUGAUAGUGUUAUUAGUGUUCUUGUUUUUUUUUAAAUUUUGUAUAUUGUUAUCAAGAAAUGAGAAGAUUGAUAGUGUUAUUAGUGUUCUUUUUUGCUAAAUUUUGUAU
rnacentral:lncRNA from 1 species